rnacentral:lncRNA from 1 species
UUUUUAAUAACAUUCAUACCUUUUGAUAACAACUAUGGAUAAGUUCUAAGAGAGACAACUCUACAUUGCAGAAAGUGCAUUACGUUUAACACUUACAUCAUUGACAUGAUCCUAGUUGAUCUAAGGUUGUUACAUAUAUCCUCCUUAGGUUCCUGAGUAAUUCUCUCUAGUUCCUGCUGAAAUCUCUCCAUGGCCGAGGAUGGCAAACACAUUGGUACCAAUAUUCCAUCCUCAGUGUUGUUUUUGUGUUGAACGUAGAAGCUAAUCAAAUCCAAGGCCUUGGCGGGUCCAGCAAAUACCGGCUGUCCCCAUCCAAAAUUGACAUCUCCAAAACCUGCACGCGUAUUAUCAGAAACUAUUAAAUAACUUCCUGUCGAUGAAUAUUGAGGUCGCCCUCUUAGUACCAUAAGAUCUGCCACUGAUCUUAAGUAUUCUUCAUUCAUGGUAGCUUUAGCCUUCUUCACCAACUCCAAAGCAUAUCCCAGUGGAUUUUUGCAUAGAGGUUCAGCCUUUGAAACUGCAGCUGGAUAUGCAAAUGCAUUGCCAUAGUAUCCCAAGGGAAGACGUAGAUUGUGGUGCUUUCCCCGUGCAUUGACAAUGCAUGAGACUCGAACAGCCUGUUUUGGAUUAAUUUUAAGUGCAAGAGUGCGACAUUUCCACAAACAGGCUGUGAUCAAGUCAAAUGUGGAGCAAGUGGAAAUUAGGUGGGGUGGAAUCUGUUUUCGAAUGACUCUCAUCUCCUUGGCACCAAAGUAGAAAGAUCGUUGAACCAUGUUUGACUGGUUACUGAAUGCAUAUGAGCCAUCAGAAUGAUCAAUCACGUCUUCAUAUUCAUGAUGAGCACAUGUAAUUCUUGGUGGAUUUCGAGCGAAAAAGAGCUUUCUCUCCCACACUGGUAGAAUAGAUGGUGCAUGUGCGCCUCUUGCCAUCUCCGCAAUGGCGGUCAGGAACAGGAGCAAUCCAGAUGCAUCACACAUUGUGUGGUUUAGGCGCAAUGCAAGUAUGAAACCUCCACAUGUAAGACAGGUCACCUGCAUAUUGCAAAAGUUAGUUACUAGACUUUUUUCUUGAUCAUCAUAUUCGUGCCAGUUAACAAUUCUUUAGAAGAAAAGACCCAAAAUAAAUAAAUAAAUAAAAAACCAUCUAAAUUAGAUGAUCUAAUUAGUAAACAAAACAUUUCAUAAAAAUUAGGAAUAAAAUUCAAGAAAGAUGGAGUCUCUUUGAAAGGCUCUCGUGCAUGUUGUAGUUACUUGAAAAAGUCUUUAACUAUAGAGGAUUUUAGACAAAAUGCUUAUAGAAGAGAAAAAUUUAGACAGAAGACAAAGAGGAAGACAUGCAAAAAACCUAGAAGAAGAACGGCAAAGGAAAACCUACACAACAAAGGUGAUGUGAGACUGGUAGAAAACCUAGGACCUAAUUAGGCGGAUACCAAGUAGAAAUAUAAUUUCCUCAAUUCAAUGUGUAUACAAAUUUUACUGUAUAGGAUUAAACAUAAGGAUCGUCGAAGAAAAAUUAGUUUCGAAAAAUAAUGAAAGCGUCUCAUAAUCUUUUCUUUCCAAAACAUCCUAAUGACUUUCUUUAAUCAUAAGAACAAAGAGGCGUGGUCAUAUUGUAGAUAAGUUCAAGUUUAGGUGCGGUGGUAGUAUGAUAAAUUUUCAUUUAUGAAAAGGGUUGCCAAUUUAAUGAAAAAAGUUAAAAACAGUUGCGGUGCCACCAAACUUCAACUUAUUUACAUUAUUGUUAGUGCUUUCUUGUUUAUGUCCUUAUUUGUCAUUAAAAAUUUCGUAUGUUGUUGAUUACACUAAUUUCUUACAAAAAAUAUCCGGGGUGUGUAUGUGACCUUAACGCAAAAAACACUACUCAUACCCUUAAACUACUUCAAAUUUUUUGUAAAGAAUUAAUGGCUAUGACCAAAUAUGAAUACGAAAAACUAAAUAACAUGUAAUUGAUAAUUAAUUGACUCACCUGAACCAGCAGCAAAGGACAACCAAUAAUUCCAUCAGAGCCUGGAAAAUUAAAUAAGAACUCCUCUAAGAGUGGACAAGGGGGUAGAAUUGUGUCUCCUAGUUGCUCUAGUGUGACAUCAGCAGAAGCCUCGACGAACAAGAUACCUUCACCAUUGCAAUCGACCACGAGCUUUUUGUUAGGCCCUUCCCUAAGCCUUCCAGCUAAAGGGUAGUAAUACACUAAUGCUCUACUUAAGGCUUCCCUAAUCACCUUAACGGGAUUACGAUUUUUAUUAAGUGAAGGAUUGGCUUUGUAACACAUUAUAACUGGAACCUGAAAUCUCAAGCUUUCUUGGUCGUCAAUAUCAGAGAGAAACUUUGUUUCUUGAGGCGUUGGCUUUGCCGGAGUUAUAAGUUCCGGCUGCAAUCGUUUCACCUGAAGUAUUGAGGGUAGCAUCAUUUCAAUAACAAGCUUAAGAACAAGCAAAAGAUCAAAGGAUUUGGAAUUUUAUUUUGUGGUAUGCAUGCUAACUAAAAGUUGAUAGUCAGUACUUAUAUAACGUUAUGUAGAUGCUCUAGGGUUCCCGAAUCUUCCGUCCAAGUUUCCACCCGUUGUGAAUGUGAUUCUUUUUUUUUUUGGAAGACAUGUGAUUAUUUUCUUUUCCAUUAAAAAUGUUGUUAGAAAGAAACGUUUAAAUCGCUUUCCAAAAAAAAAGAAAAAAAAGAAAAAAACGUUUAAAAUUAAAUCACGCAAUCAACAUGGACUGCAAAGAAAAACAUGUUGUUGAGAGCUAUGUGCAUGGGACCAUUUCACAGUUCACACCACAUAUUCGGAGCUAUGUGCAUGGGACCAUUUCACAGUUGCUAUGUGCAUGGGACCAUUUCACAGUUCACACCACAUAUUCGUACAUAUACAUUAAUACUGAAUUUCAUUUCAACAUCAGAAAUCUGAAUACUAACAGGGAUAUGAGGACAGGUGUACGGUAAAAAACCUUUGAUAGGAAUGGAAGGAAGAAGGCCAACAUCGUACGUACCUUGCCCCAAUUACAGCUGUGACUUUUGUAAAACAUCGAUUACACGUCUGCUAUAAAGACAACAUUGUUGUUGUAUAAAGACAGGCAUAUUAGCACGGGAGAAUAAUGUUCCACAUGGCGUGGAGCACGGUAAGUGUUGGGCUUCACACAAUCUGUUCUGCAAUCAUGACGAAAGUUGAGGUUCACACAAAUUGUAUCAAGACUUUGUAACAGCAGCAUGAAGGUUAGGAGUCGACUUGGAGGAGAAGAUCGCGAGCGGGUUCAGCUAGCACUAGUUAACCGAGCCCCAGAUUCCAUGUUCAUGGUUAUCGGCUAAUCCUCAACUCUUAUGUUCGGUGCUUAACUUCUGAACAUUGAACUUUUUGUCAAAUUUUAUGUUCAGCAUGUUCAAAUACAUGAUUCAAUCUAGUUGUAUUUUAUUUAAGAAAAUAGAAACAAACCCAAGAGGAUUUCAGAGAAAAGUGACGGCAUAGGGCAGAACAUUGCAGCUCAAACGUCACUAACAUACUUCAAUGAUUUAGGGUUUUGGUCACGAUACCACCUUACAUCUCAUUUAAAUUAGCUAGCUAACAAAAGCCUUCAAGACCCCAGUUGUGCUAAGCUAAUCUAAACCUCACACCAAAGCAAACCUAUCUCAGCCCUACACUUGUAAUUUUGGACUGAGUCAACAUAUUUGGCCGUUACAAAUUUAGAAAAAACUAAGGCAUUACUUUUGUUUAAUACAAAAAAUUGGAAGCUAGAAAUCAGUUUAUGCAUCAACACUCUCCUUCAAAUUGUUUCUAGUUUUGACGCCAAGCAAAUCCCUGAGGUAUACAAAACCCUCCUUUAGCGUAUCCUUAGUAAAUAUAUCAACAGUUUAAUCUUCAUAUUUGCAAUAGAGUAAUUCAAUCACAUUCUCUGACGUACAAAAGAUCUCUAAUAAAGUGAUGGUUCCUCUUUUCAUGUUUUGUUUUUUUAGUGAAUCAGAGGAUAUCCUGUUAGAGCAAUUACAAAGGUGGUGUUGAAAUUUAGUGAUAUAGCAUCUACUUUGAAAAGGUAGCUGGGUCAACCCAAUAGAUAAAUAAUCUCAAUUAAAAUUCUAGACGAGGAUUCAUGUACGGUUUCAAUCAUACUACAUAACAGUGAAGAACAAAAUGAAAUAGAGUAAAAAGAACAAAAGACUCACAAUAUAAUUCAUGGGCACACAACCAUUGAGAAAUAAGUACUUUUACAAAACUCAUCAAGACAGACAUCUACUACACUUGAAGUUUUCUCUUGUACUUUUAAUCUUGUAGCACACAGUCUUUCUUUUGCUCUCUUUUGGAUGAACACGACGUACUCAACAGGUUCUCCUCACGACUAAAGAGAUUGCACUCAACUUCGUCGCAUAGAUGGAAACAACUUCUUCACUCAAAUGAAUAUGAUGAAUAAUAUGAAAGGUAUGAAGUGUUUCACUAAGAUCACUCUUCUAACCUAGCACUCAAGAACUUUGCUUUGAACCUUUUAUGCUCAAAUCUUAUAACCAAGCAAAGAUGAAUGAUAGGCUUGAUUUCCUAUGAAACCAACAGCCUAGAAUAAAGGAAACUGGAAUUAUGUACUAGAAUAAAAUCAAAUUGGGUUUAUUUCUUAAAACUAGGCAAUUAAACUGAUAUUAUAAUCUUCAAGAUAUGCAAUGAUGUGAUUCUCGUUUCCUAUAUGAAUGCACAUGAUACUCCAAUAUAUGCUUUGAUGUGCACGUUUUCAGUAAUUAAACCUAGAAACUACGACACGAGUGGCGAUACUUUGGAUUAGUUUGGUAUUCCUGUGCUUUCUAAAAAAAAUGUGAUUUUGCUGUUCUAUGAGAAUAAACAAUUGUUACGUGUUUGGUAACUUUUUUUUUCUUUUUUUUGUAAAAGUGCUUUUAACAACAAAAAAACAGUCUGAGUGUUUGGUAAACUUUUAUAUAAAUUAUUGUGAAUGUGUUAAAUAACUAAAAAGGAUAUGGUAUGUAGUGUGAUAUAAUAAUUGACAAAGAUAAUAAUGUAGGGGCAAAAAUUGUAAUUUUGUAAAAUAUGUGGGGUUGUACUUGCCUUUGAAAAUUUUAUUAAAUGAGCAUUAAUUACUAUACUUCGAAAAAAAAAGCACUUUCUUUAAAAGCAAGAUAGACUCUGCUUUUGUUUUUCUAUGCUUUUCUACUGUCAUUGACAAUAGUUUUUUAAAAAAUCACUUUUUUUUUUGUGUGUGUUACCAAACACACUUAAUGUUCCAGAUUUUUUAAAAGCAUUACAAUCCCAAACCAGCCCUUUGUUAGAAUGUUUAGAAUUUUCUCAACCAAAUGGCUCAAAAUAUUUAGGGGAAUACUAUUAUGUAGGUUGCAUUCAGUGACUUGCUUAAUUUCUUUUAUUAGUGAAUAUGUUCUAGAUUGUUAAAUUAUUUUGUAUAAACUUAGCAUCCAUAAAGCAUUUUAAGUUAAACCAUAUUCACUAGCAAGAGCAUUUAAAUUGUAGGGGGUAGAAGACAAUUCUGAGAUCAAUCAUGUUUCGAAUGUUUACAUUUUUGCAAUUGAUUUACAAUUGAGUUGUAAGGAAAAACCAAAAGAGUGACCCUUCCAUCCACAGAAGGUACACUUGAGAUGAGCACGAUGAUUUUUAGUAAUGUGAUUCGUCUUGUUGCACUUCCCACAUCGAGGUCCACCGUCUUCUGAUUCGGCUUCUCGGCUAGUGGUUUUCAUGGCGAAUUCCGCAACUUCUGGUUGGGUAGUAUUGUUUUUCCCACUGGAAACUUCAGCCUAUCUCUCAUGGCAGAGAACCAAUGAGUAGGCUUUGUUUACUGUGGGCAGUGGCUCAAGAGAAGAGUGUUGCUGCGAACGGUGGCGUAAGAAUCAUUCAACCCCAUGAGAAACUUCAUGGUCUUAUGUGUUUCAAUGUACGAAACAAUCUCCUUCUUUGUUUCACAACUACAUGCCAGAAUCGAACAUAGUACUCCUCGUUCAUCCUAGAGACUUUUUAGUUUGGUGAAGUAGGUACUUACUGUCAUUCUCUAUGUGAAAUAGUUGGACGAUGUUCAUAUGAGAAAAUCUUUUAUGUGCUUAAUCACAUCUUUUAAGUUGCCCAAACUCUCAAUUUCUUUGCGGCAGUGCGCAAUCGAACAACAUGCAGCCUUGCCCCCACAUUUCAAGGAAAUAUCUCUUUUUUUUUUUGUCGAAGGAAAUAUCAUAUCAAUUGGGCAAUUUCAUGGGUGGAGAAGCUCUUGAGUAUAUAGGUGCAAUCAGUGGCGGAUCUAAAGAGGGAUCUGGGAAGUCCCAGGACUCUUCGAAGAAUCUAAAUCGUGCUUUGAAAUUUUCUAAGGACCCCCCGUACUUGAAGAUGAUGGCCAGUGCAGCUGCAACGGCAUCGUCUUCUGUCUUCCUAGAGAAGACGAUCGCGCGAAGAAAUAUUUUUUUUCUAUUUUAAGACUUGGCCCAUAAUGUUGUUUGGUUUUGUUCGAUUUUUUCUAUUUGUUGUGGGCCUAAUGUUUUGCGUAGGCUUUUGGUGAGAUGGUUGGCGUGAUGCUCGUUUUCUUGUUUUCAGGACCCACUCUUUCUUUGUCUUGCUUUUUUGGGUCUUUAUUUUGUCAAGUUUCUUGGUAAUUAAUGAAUUUUACCUUUGUAUAAUAAUAAUAAUAAUAAUAAUAAAAUAAUAAAAUAAAAAAAACCCAAACCCCUAUCACGUCCCCAGCAGUCCCACCCCAUCCCUUCCUCAACUUGAUAUUAUAUUCUCCCUUAAAAAAAAACUUGAUAUUUAUAUUUAUUUUGUGCAUUUUGGUAAUGAUUUUUCUCAAUUAAGAGGGAUUAGCAAUCUUGCCAAAAAAAUGGUGGAAGAAAGGGCUGCACCAAAUAUUUGCAUAUGUAUAUUUGCUUAUUUAGUGGGCUUUGAUUUUAUCGAAUUGCAACUGUUUCAAUGAAGAUGACAUUUUUCGCUAUGAAUAUCAUUGAGGGUCUACUUCUCAACAAAAUGGGAGAUCAAUAGUUGCAUGUAGAGGACAUUUUUCACUAUAAUUUUUUUUUAUCUUUAUUAUUGGGACCCCCCGAGUCUAAAAUCUUGGAUCCGCCACUGAGUGCAACAGCCUGCUUGCAAAUGAAUAGGAUGAAGUUGUUGCCACCAAGGUAUAAAAUAUCGAUGAUAUCGGAAAUAUCAGUAGUCCAAAAACAUGAAAAUUUCGAUGGAAAUAUCAGGAUAUUAUCAAUAUCGAUAAAAAUUGAAUAAAAACCACGGAAAUUGUAAGAAAAACUUGGAAAUUUUUAUUAAAACUUUGCAAGAUGUUUAUGUAAUCAAUUAUUUAUUAGUUUAUCACAAAAAAAUUGGAAGGAAAUGCAUUGCAUGAUGGAUUUAACUGAUUUAAGUUGAUUAUAUAGCGAGCUGGCAAACAGUGUGAGUGUAGAAAAUAUGUAGUAAUUAAUGAAAGAAGUUUAAACACACCAUAAUCAUUUAUAUAUAAUGAAUUAGUACAAUAUUUUACACUUUAUACAUAGCAUGAUAAGAUACAUGAGUGACUUAGUACCACAUAGAGUUCCUAUGAAGUUCAAAAUUUUCACUAUCUUCAUCAUCUCUAUGUAGUAAGUGUAUUGUGAAGAGUAGUCAACAACCAUGGCAAUGACUUUCAAGAACCAAAACCCAAAAGUCAAUAGGAAACCGAAUACUUCAGUAUUUUUCGGGAUUUUAGGAUUACCAAACAAAUGGUAUUUGGAAACCAAUCCCAUAUAAAAAAUUUCGGUAUUUUUCAGGAUGGUUUUGGUUUGGAAUUUUUCGGUUUGGGUUUGGGACUUUUUCGGUUUGGUUUGGGAUUUUCGAGAAUUUUUUCCAGCCCUACCAUGUAAGUGACCAAAUAAAAAAUAGAAAAAUUAAAAACCACGUGACAUUGACUAAGUAAUUAAUUGACACAAUUUAAAAUAUAAUACCACAAAAAAUUUGGAAUAUGUGCAAAUUUGUUUCUUGUAAAAAGAAUUCAAAACAAAACCAUAUAUAUAAAUAUUUUAGCAUAUUAUCACAAAAACAUAAGUGAUAUGGUGGUUAAGGUGUUAAGGAGUCAAAUAGGAGGGGUUUCAAUCCCUCUAUGCGCAAAAGGGAGACUUUUCAGAAAUUUUUAAGUAUUUUUGGAUUUAAUAUCGCGAUAAUAUCGGUAUUAUCGCGAUAUAUUAACGAUAAUUAAUGGGAUAAGUCACGAAAUAUCGUCAUCUAAAAAAUCGAUUUCGCCAAUAUUUUCGAUAUUUUGGUCCUUGGUUGCCACUAUAGGUUGUAAAAGAGUUAAGGAUACUGAGAAAGAUUGUAAAAGAGUACUGCAUUCUCUUAUUUAUUUAUGUAACUGUGAAAAAUAUUGGUACACAUAACCACAAAUUAACUAUUUACCUGAUAUUUCUUUUCACUUGUAAGUGAGAGGUUUUAGGUCCGAUUUUCACUAAAGGCGAAUUUAAAUCAUAUUAUUACUAGCCUAUUGUGAGGCUUAGCACACUCCCAACAAACAGCCACCCUCUCUCUCAGUCUCUCUCGAAGCAACUGCUGCAAGCAUGCAACUCUCUCGAACUGAAGAACAAAACCUCCCUCCACCACACAAAUACGGCCAACCACCACCACACACAACCAUGAGCCACCAGGAUCCGGCAAUUCUCCAUUUCCCUCUCUCAGACUAUCUCUUUCUAGGAGUCGGCGUCUCUCUCGACGAUUUCUACAACAACGGCGGGCUAAGAACUCUCUGUCUCGCAUUUGAUUUUUCAUCAUUUACUGCCGCUUCUUAUUCUCUGAAACGGAAGAGACCCCGAUGAUUGAGAUCCCGAGCGCCAUGCAAGAAAUUAAAAGCGAGAAGCCCCGGUAAUCCUCUUUAUUUAGGGAUUUGGGAUUAAUUUUUUAUUUAGGAUGCAUGUUUAAUUAGGGACACCACUAGUUUUGAUCAGGCCUUGAAAGAAGUGUGAUUAUAGAGCAUGCAUAUUCACUUUCUACUUGUGCAAUCUGACUUUUAGAAAACACAUCUAUUUCGACACCUCUGCUUACGUUAGAAAGCGAGGUGGACUACUCUAAGGCGUGCAGUGGUAAAUUGCGUAUUGAUUUACUGCUAAAAAAAGGAGAGGAAAAUAAAUAAAAAUAGAAAAAACUAAUAAAUAUAUGCAAUACCUAACAAAGCACUUAAAGACUUUUGAAGUCGUGACCUAAAAGUAGGGAUGGGCACUUGAAACCGAAAAUCAAAACCAAAACACGAACCAAAUCGAACCGCACUAAACGGUUUGGUUCUGCGGUUUUCAUACGGUUGUGGUUUUGAAACCGAACCGCAAUGUAGGAAAUAGUUUGGUUUCGGUUUUGGCUUUUGAAAAUUGCACUGAAACCAAAACCGCACCUCAAUUAGAUCAUGUUUUAAUUGGUUGUUUGUUAGAAUCUAUACAUUUAGUAUGGAUACAACCACACUGUAAUGUCAUCCGUUUCCUAAUUUUUACCUUUGGUGCUUAUUUCGUUCUGAAUAAACCAUCGUACGUUCUCCAACACUAGGUAAAAAAAUAAAAUUUAAAAAAAAUUCCGUGUCAUAGUCACUGUUAUUUUGAUCUCUCCAGAUUUUGAAAGAUGGAAAAAGAAAUACUAUGUAAAUGAAUGGUGUACUUAGCCUUUUAUAUGACAUGGAACAAGAUAUAUUUGGAAGUUACACUAAACGUUUAAAGAAUUAAAGUAUGUAUACAUUGAAAAUUACAUUGUGAUAGGAUGAAAUAAGCACCUAUUUUUCGGUAAGAGUAGAUCCUUCACAUGAGACCGUCUUAUGCGUACGUAAGUGUAAAUUUUAAAAGGAAUUGUUAUUGGCAUUUCAAAAUUCUCAUUCUACACUCCAAACUUUUUAUAUUUAGACAGAAAAAUACACUUAUGAGGAGUGUCGAAUGAGAUUUUGGAGUGCCAAUAACACUUUCCAUUUUAAAUUGUAUAAUUUUUCUCAAAAACCGAACCGAAUCAAACGGUUUGGUUUCUUUCGGUUUUGGCUUCAAAACCGUACCGAACCGCACCGCGAAAAGUUAUGAUUUCGAUUAAGGCUUCACUCAAAACUACACCGAACUGCACCAUGCCCACCCUUACCUAAAAGCCUACUGGCAUGCACGGAACACACACGCACACACAAGACACACGUGUGUCACAGUAAGGGAAACCCUGGCAGCCAGCUCAUUAGACCAUCUCCAACUCUUGGGCUAAAAGCCAAAUUUUUUAGCUCAGAAACAGUUUUUCUACUCUAACCUUUCUGGCCUAGAAUUUUUGCCCAAGAUUAUUAAAGAAUGAACUUAGGCUAAUUUUUUUCUUAAAUUACUUAAAAAAAAGAUGUAAACUAUCGUAAAUUAAUUUUAUGAACAUUUUAAUCUAAAAAUAUUUAAAUUCCAAUAAAUAUUGAAAAAUCACUCAAUCGAUACAUGAAACACUAUGGAAAAAUAUGAAAAUCAUGAUAGAGAUGUAUAAAUACAAAAUACAUAAAACAUACAAGACAAAUAACACAUGUGAAGCACAUACAAAACACAUGUGAAGCACGUACACAUGUGAAGGACAUACAAAAUACAUAAAAACAAUUAGUUGCAAAAUAAUAUUAUGUACAUGACAAAUAAAAUAUUAAGAAAAAAACUCACAAUUUAUGUUGCGCUCUUUUCACUAGCCAUGUCAAUCACAGUUCUCUCAAACUUCCCUGCCAUAAAGUGCAUGCUUUGUUGAUAGUCUUCCACCAAUCAUAAACACCACCAUCGUCUCUCCCGCCGCAAUUGCAGUUUUCAUGAAACUUUUCAAUGAUUUUAUCCCACAAAACCUUUUUAUUUUGAUUCGUGCCAACUGCACCAUCUUUGCUAACAGAAACUCAUGCCAAGCAUAAAGCAACAUCUUCCUCACAGGUCCAAUUACGACCUCUAAUAUGCUUUCUUGCCAUUUUGAAUAAUUUGGAAAUAAGAAAUGGUAGAAAGAAAAAUUGGAAGAAUUGUAGGAGAAAAUUGAGUUUUGUAUUGAUGUUUGAACAAAUACAUCGUUAUUUAUAGAGUUUUUGGGUGAAUUUUGAGUUAAAUAUAUAUUUUUUAAUUAUUUUAGCCAUUGGAUUUAAAUUUGGACGGUUAGAUCUUUUUUUACCGUUAGAUUUGAUUAUAUUCGAUCUUAGCCGUUGGAUUCAAUGUAUUUUAAAAUUACAUAUAAAAAAAACAAAAUUUGAAUUUGGACCGUUGGAUCAAUCAACGGUCUGUAAAGCCCAGUCGUAGGAUACAGAAAAGAGCCGUUGGGCUCUGGUUGGUGGUCGACAGCGGCCCUGACAGUGGGCCCCCUGUCGGGCGCUGAAGCCAAACUGUCAGGGCGACUGCACAAGUGAACGGGCCAAGACUAGGUUCCCUUUUAGUUAGUCCACACGUUUGUGGGCUAUUUCUUGGGGGGUAUUUGGCCUUGUUUUGGCAUUUGGCUUUUAGCCCAAAGAUUUGGCUUGGGUUGGGUUGGGUUGAGUUUUUUUUGGGGGGGGGGGAGGGGAAUAAGUGGGGUAAUUUGGCAAAUAGCCCAAGGUUGGGUGUGGUUUUAUAAAAGCCAAUUUUCAGCCCCCACUUGUCAUUUCUGCUCCCUUAAACCCUAGGUGCCGUUGAGAACUCCCUGGAAUCUCGCCUUCACUUUCCACUUGAAGAGCCUCUCACUCUCUCUUACUUCACUUCUCAGCCAACCUCGAGAACCACACCCCAAGCUUUACCUGAAUCGGUUGCCAUAUCUCUGCCAGAGCUCAGACUCAAGCUUAGCCUUUCUCUCUCAUGACGGUUUUUCAACAAAUCCGAGUUCCAAUCAUCAUUAAAAAUCUUUCAAAUCAGAGCUCCAGUCAUCAUUGAAAGGUAACAAUUCUCACUCUCUUCCGUCCCUUUCGUGACUGCUUUUAGAUUAAACGAAAAAAGAUGAGAACUAUCUCACGCUUGUGUUCUGGUUAUGUGCAUGGAACAGGUUCCAGAAGAUCAAGUGUUGGAAGGUUGAAAUCCAAGUGUUUAUGGUGUUACGAAAUUAUAGCCUUCAACACAUCCAUUAUAGCUGCCCGAUGCACUUGCACCGUAACUUUGCUGUCACACACGCAUUGGACCACUGUUGGCAUUAAUGUUGUAGGGCAUUUCAGGAGACUGCUCCUAUGUAAGAACUUGUAUGGUUUCCCCUCUAGUCGAACACUAUUCCAUGAAUACGACUGACUGUCAUCCAUGAUUGAUUUCUUAUGGGCAAACAAAUAGAAAUUUGGAAUCUAGUGAAGUGAUAGCCAACACAACUUCGUCAACUCUCUUCCAAAAGCACGGAAGUCUAGGGAAUCUAGUGAAGUGCUUCCAAAUGCAUAGAAUCUAGUGAAGUGUUUUUGGAAGCACUUCACUAGAUUCCAAAUUUCUAUUUGUUUGCCCACAAGAAAUCAGUCAUGGAUAACAGUCAGUCGUAUUCGUGGAAUAGUGUUCAACUAGAGGGGGAAACCAUACAAGUUCUUACACAAGUGCAGUCUCUUGCAAUUCCCUACAACAUCAAUGCCAACAUAAAUGUUCGGGUGGUCCAGCACGGGUGUGACGACAAAGUUCUAGUGCAAGUGCACCCGGCAGCUACAGUGGAUGUGUUAAAGGCAUGGUUUUAAAUAUCGAUAAUAUCGGCGAUAUUUCGCCGAUAUUAUCGUUUUUCAGAGGCUUCGAUAUUUUUUCACAUAUCCGUCUCAUUAUCGUCAAAAUAUCGCGAUAUUAUCGAUAAUAUCGCGAUAUUUUCGAUAUUAUCGAAAAAGUCGUCGUGGAUCCGUCGUCGGAAAGGCAGCCGAGGCUGCGUCGUCCCCCUAGCUGCCCAGAUCUCUCUGCAAUCCAUGCUCAAACCUAAGAUCUGCGCCUCAACGACACCGAUUCCCCCGCCGUUGUCGAAGUCGCGGCGAAAGAUCCACAACUCCAGAACGGAUCGAGCUCGCAGUUGUAGAUCCACAACUCGUGGUCUGUCCCCACGGCGAGGCAGGCGUGGUCUUGGGUUGAAGCAGACGGGGAACAGAGACGGAGGCGAGCGCGGCGCCGGCAGGGCAGGCUCCGGGGGGAGGAGGAGAAUGGGUGGUUGUUGUGGAGGUUGAGGUUGGGGUUUGGGGGCGAUUGGGGGUCGUCGUUGGAGUCAACGACAGAGGUGGGGUUGUUAUCGGUGGGAUCGGUGAGCAAGGCGGAGAAGGAUCAAGAGAACUCAGAGUUCCUGGGUUCGCCGACGAGGCGGAAUACGCGGACCAGGAGGAAGGCGAGGGAGGAGGAGAAUGCCAUGUGGAAGAAGGAUCGAGAAAGGUCUCUGUGCGUGUGUAUGGGAGAAGGGAGAAGAGAGAAGGAUCGAGAAUUCGAGAGAUCUGUCGAUCUGUGUGUGUGUUUGUGGGAGAAGGGAGAGGGAGAGGGAGAAGAGAGAAGGUUCCAGAUAUAAGUCGUGUGUGCGUGUGUGGUGUGCGUGUGUGGUGGCGUGUGUGAUCUUGUGUGUGCGUGUGUGUGUCGGUGGCGUGUGUGUGUAGGUGGUGUGUGACGUUGUGAGAAAAGAAAAGCAUGGUAAAUAAUUCAACUUUUACAUCUUUUAGGAAUGGUACAAUGUAUAAAGUGUAAAAUAUUGUACUAAUUUAAUAUAUAUAAAUGAUUAUGGUGUGUUUAAAUUUCUUUCAUUAAUUACUAUAUAUUUUUUACACUCAUAAUGUUUGUCAGCUCGCUAUAUAAUCAACUUGAUAAUGUUAAAUCCAUCAUGCAAUGCAUUUCCUUCCAAUUUUUUAUGAUAAACUAAUAGAUAAUUGACUAAAUAAACAUCUUGCAAAGUUUCAAUAAAAAUUUCCAAGUUUUUCUUACAAUUUCCGUGGUUUCCAUGUAAUUUUUAUCGAUAUCGAUAUUAUCCCGAUAUUUGCAUUGAUAUUUCCGUGUUUUCGGACUACCGAUAUUUCCGAUAUUACCGAUAUUUUCUUCCUUGGUUAAAGGCUAUAAUUUCAGAACACCAGAGACACUUGGAUUUUAACCUUCCAGCACCUAUCUUUUUGGAACCUGUUCCAUGAACAGAAAAGCAUUGGAUUGUUGUUCCAACUCAGUAACAUAAACUCUAAUGAAAAUUUAUGUCUACAGAACCUUAAACCUCUUUUGGAAGUGCUGCAAAUGUUCUUAGUGAAAAGUUUUUGUGAACAAAUCUUUAGCAAAUAUGCAAGGGAAAGUACUUUUAGAAUACAAAAAUAUUUUCUCUAAAAGUACUUUUAAUCUAUUUAAAACGCUUUCAAACAAGUUCAGAAAUGUUCAUGUUUGUUGUAUCUCUAAACUAUCCUAAUACAAUUGUAGGCAAUUGCAGCACAGCUAGACGGCCAUAUUUUCUUCCGCGUAAGUGUUACUAUUCCCCUUUUGUGAUUAGAUGAUUUUAUUAAUUGUACGUUUGUUUGUUAGGUUUUUCACCUUUAUGUGAGGAGACAGAGAUUUUUCAAUGAUUUUGGAACACGACUUGUUAUAGAAGUGUCGUAUACAAGUAGUUGGAUAUUUGAAAACAAAUCCAACACUUGUGUUAAUGACACUUCAUACAAAAACCGUAUUUUCAAAGUACUAAAAAAAUUUCUCGUAAGUGGGGAAUGAUGAAAUUAAUAAAUUUUAUUUUGCUCGUAAAUGAACAGGAAGAUUAUAUCAUUGCUUUAGGUCCAUUGCGUUGGUUGAAAUUAGUAAAGAAAAUUGCGGGAGAUUGCUUUCUUCACUAAGUGCGUCCGACUUGCAUUAUCAACACGAUGAAACGGGACGCUCGAGUGAUGCAGAGUUUUAAGCAUUUGCAUUUAUGAAGGAUUUCAUAUAUAUAUAUAUAUAUAUAUCAUUGUGAAACCCUAAUACCAAUUCACAUGAAGAAUAUUAGGGUUCCAACUUAAGCAUUUGUGUUUAUGUUUUUAGCUUAACUACAUUGUUAGUAGUAUCGAUUUUCUUUAAGAAAAUUUCAUUCCAAAGCACUUCAGCCACAAUAAAAAGUUUGUCCAAUUGGCGAGAAAGUUUGUCUGAAUAAAUCCAAACUUUCCCAAAAUUCUAUAUUGAAAAUACAAAGUAAAGUAUCAAAACUCUACCAAAAUAAUUACCAAAACAUAUUAAGAAUAAGAUAAAAUAUAUAAUAUGAAUUUGACACAUCAAAAUACCCCCAAACUUAACUUUUUGCUUAUCCUCAAGCAAAAUAGAACUAAAAAACAAAAAUAAAAGCUAACGAACUAAGGACUUAAACAAAACUAAACUAAGACAAAAUUUUCACCUCUAAGUUGCAAUCCAUAGAAAAUGUUAAAAAUCAGAACAUCUUUUCAAAAGUUCCAACCAAUCCCACCAUAGAGUCUAAGUUAUUUAGAAUCAAUUAGAAAAGAAUUCACAAACUUCCUUUGGUAUAAAGUGAACCAACAUAGUUAAGGAGACUCGACUAAAACCCUUAUCUCUUGUCCUUUUAUUCAACACUUCACACAAACUCACUUGAGACAAGUAUUAUAUAUUUAUAUUUUUUUUUUCUUCUUUUCAAUUUUUGUUUUUUAGUAACAAUAGUGGUCGUGCAAUGCCAGUUUACUUAAACUUUCGAUCCAACCCAUGUAGCUAGCUUUAAGUCAAUAACUCCUAAACCACUAGGGCUUUAGGGCACUAGGUGUAAAACACUCCUAAGGACUUACUAACUCAAGCUGAAAAGGCUACGAAACCAACUAACCACCUUACCCCAUGCCAAAACUUUACCGUUUGACGCGAGAAUCACUACUGUUUAGGCAUGACUAACCCGGUUACAAAGCAAAGCCUUGGUUGGAACAAUUAUUACUUUAUUCAUAACAAGAACUAAACUUUACUUUACUAAGAUUAAAAAUUAAAGUUUAACAUGGACUAAAAGUAAGUGUUUCAAUCUCACUCCCCACAAACCAUGUUGAUGUGAAUGUGCAAAUUGUCAAAGCAUAACUCAUAAAUUAGUGUCUAAGUAACGAUAAAUAGAAAAGACCAUUGUGGGAUUAACCUUUACCAUGUCCAUUUGUUUUCUUGAAAUAAUCUAUGGAUAUUAACUUAAAAAGAAUAAAAAAAUUUAUUUGACUUGAAAAUUAAAAAAAAUUCUAAAAAUUCUAAAUUCCAAAACUUAUUUCAUACUUUGUCCUCAAGGUGUAGAAAAAUAGUAAAUAAAAUAAAAUAAGAAACAAAACAAAAGAAUAAAUGAUAAAUAAAACAAAAACAAAUAUAAAAGAAAAUGGACACACCUGGGCUCAUUUGAGAAGUCCUCAAGGUAUGACAACCCGUGGGCCUUCGAAAGAUCAAAACGUGCUGAUAGUGGAAUGCCCCCAUGUUUCUGAUGCCCCAUUUCACAACCCUAAGGGAGCAUUUUUUCUCACUAACCUAAAUUUUGUUGUAUGUUUAUCAUACAUCUAAUUAUUUAUCAUGUGUCAUUUUACUUAAUUUUGAGUAAUUUUUUUUCAAAAUUAAAAAAUUAACAUUUAAUGUGAAAAUUCACAAAGAUUAAAUGAAAUGACACGUGAUAAAUAAUUAGGUAUAUAAUGAGCAUACGUCAAAGUUUAGGGUUGAGGAGCAUUUUAUUUGACGAGCAUACGCCAAAAUUUAGGAUGAUGAGCAAAAAUGCUCCCCAACCCUAAAGCUGCCCCUUGUGCUCAAACGGCUCUCCUCCCCUUGAAUUCAAAACAGCUCAAAAAAUCAGACAGAAAAUGCACACGAUUGACACACAUGUCGUGCAUCCGUCCGUGUAUGGGUCUCCUUAGGGUUCCAAACAGAAAAAUACUGUUCAUUAACAGUACACGAAAUGCCCCUGGAGUGAGGGAUGAGAGAGAUUGACAGUGGAAAAAUCUCUCCUACAGCCGGAUCUCUGGAAUUUUCCAUGGUUUCUAUCCCCCACUAAUUCCUCUCCCCCUCCUUCCCGCGCCUAAUUCACUCAGCCCUCACCUCUCUCUACCCCACUCAGACUCCCCCAUCUCCCAACACUGUCAAUCUCUCUCAUCCCUCACUACUCUGCCUCUACCAUCUGUCUCAUUCUCCCUCUCCGCAAAACCGAGAACCACCAUCACAUCAUCUCCAAACACCACCCAAACAAAAUAACGUCCCUGGAGCUUUUGCGCUGAUUCCAGUUUUUUUAGCGGUUUCCAAGAAACGCAGUCUGCGAUGCCUGUUCCGUCCUGAUUUGAGGAAGAUUUCUCUAGCGACUGUAAUUUCAUGGUAAGUUGGCUUAAAACAGUUCCAAAAUUUGGGAUUGUUUGGGAUAUUUUUAGGGUUUUCCGGUUCUUGAAGAAAAAUCAUGGUUAAGAGUAAAUUAAUUACAUUUUAAUUUUCAUUUAAUUCAGGUAACCGUCUUCAGUUGGUUGUUUUGAACGCUGGAACCAGUGAUCUUUGAAAACGGUUGGUUCUUGAAUAAUUUUAUUUAUAAUUUAUAUCCUUUUGUUGUUUGAAUGGACUUCCUGUAAUCUAAAUGAAGCUACAUAUCUGUUUUUGUAUUCUGUAUUUGCUUUGUCAAAUUACUUCUUUUUUGUUGAAAAAUGUUAUUUGGUUUUGCAGAUCAAAGGGGUUAAUGGUUAUGUGUUCUUCUUGAUAAUUGUAUGUGUUUAUGCCCUCAUGAUAUUGUGAGAUAUCAUGGGAUGUUUGUGUCUUGAAGCACUUUUCAUUGUUCAUGGUAGUCUAGUAAAAGCUAAAAUGUCUCUCAUUCCUCGCAGAGCUGAAUGUGUUUUAGAAACCUAGCGCUUUCUCACAUGAAUUUUAAAAAGGAACUUUAACGAAAAGCACCCGGUACUGUUCAUUUUAACGAAAAAUCAUAUUUUUACACUAAAAAGUCAAUCCUGGUACUAUUUACUUUACCCUUUAUUUUGUUCUUAUCAUUAAAAUUCAAAGUUUUUUCAUUAGUUUUCAUUUUUAAAAAUUGUUUUCGUUUCUCCUUCUUUAAAAAUUGCAGAUUUAAUUAACUUUUUAAAUUAAAUUCGUUUUUCUUAAUUUAAGUCUUUAAAUCACCAUUUUCUAAUAUUUUGUUCUUAACAAUUAGUUGAGUUUUGGUUUACAUAAAUUUAUUUAAAUUAAUUUCUGUGGUGAACGACUUUGCUUAACUCCGCCGUGUAAGUUUAUCUUACAUUGCCGGUCCCAAGCCCGGAUAAAGGAGGAGGGGGAGGGCGUCAGGUAGUCGACAGCCGGCACUCCAUGAUCACGUCGAAUCCUUAUGAAAAUGAAUCCAGAACGAAAUCGCGCUAAAGCUAGGGCGUCACCCGUAAGUGGCGCGUUGUGUGGCCUGAGCACAGUGAUAAGUGAGCAAGGGUCGCUGUAUCUCCAUCGGCACCCGGAUACAGUGUUAAAUGAGCAAGGGGGCUAUAGAAACUUCUUUUCGAACGACUCCACUCAAAGUUGUUUGGGAGCAUAUGCUCCUAUCAACUUUACAGGGGACACACAAAAGAAGUACUUUGAUCCUAUUAGACGGGGAAGGGUGAAGAAGCUAGGACAGAAGGGUAGAGUUCAAGAGAGCAAAAUGCGUUUAGGAACGUGGAAUAUAUAGGAACCUUGACGGGAAAAUCUAUGGAAGUAGUAGAAGUUAUGGUGAGGAGAAGGAUAAAUAUUUAUGUGCCUACAAGAAACUAAGUGGGUUGGUCGUAAGGCAAAGGAUCUAGAAAACUCAGGGUUUAAACUAUGGUAUUCGGGCACAAAUAGAACGAGAAACGGUGUUGGCAUCAUCGUGGACAAGACCUUGACACAAGAUGUUGUAGAUGUCAAGAGGGUAGGAGAUAGAAUCAUGGCAAUCAAGAUUGUAAUAGGACAAGAACUUAUCAAUGUGAUUAGUGCGUACGCACCUCAAGUAGGGUUGGAUACGAGUUCGAAAGAGAAAUUUUGGGAAGACCUUGGAGACUUGGUGCAAGGAAUUGCUCAGACGGAGAAGUUAUUUAUAGGAGGAGAUUUUAAUGGACACGUGGGCAGGGAGACAGGCAACUAUGGAGGUUUUCAUGGUGGCCAUGGUUUUGGGGAGAGAAACGAGGAUGGGGAAGCUAUCUUGGAUUUUGCAAUGGCAUAUGAUCUCUUCUUAGCCAACACCUUCUUUAAGAAGAGAGAAGAACAUGUGAUCACCUACAAGAGUGGGUCGUCAAAAACACAAAUAGAUUUUCUUCUAAUGAGGAAAGGGGAUCGUAUAACUUGUAAGGAUUGCAAAGUUAUACCAGGAGAGAGCGUGACUAAUCAACAUCGCUUGUUGGUGAUGGAUGUACAUAUCAAAAGAGUGAGAAAAAAGAACAAGACUUGGAAGUGCCCAAGGACUAGAUGGUGGAAUCUAAAAGAAGAAAAACAAGCCAUUUUCAAAGAGAAAGUAAUCACCCAGUGUGUGUGGGAUAGAGAGGGGGAAGCUAACCAAAUGUGGGAUUCCAUGGCUAGUUGUAUCCGAAAAGUAGCAAAAGAGGUAUUAGGAGAGUCCAAGGGCUUUGCCCCACACCAAAAGGAAUCUUGGUGGUGGAAUGAGGAGGUACAAGCAAAGGUGAAGGCUAAGAAGGAAUGUUGUAAAGCCUUAUAUAAGCAUAGGACCGAUGAAAAUGGUGAAAGGUAUAGAAAAGCGAAGCAAGAGGCGAAGAAAGUUGUGAGAGAAGCUAAGUUAGCGGCUUAUGACGAUAUGUAUAAGCGACUAGAUACCAAAGAAGGAGAGUUGGAUAUCUAUAAACUAGCUAGAGCAAGGGAAAAGAAGACAAAGGACCUAAACCAAGUGAGGUGCAUCAAGGAUGAGGAUGGAAAGGUUCUUGCUACAGAGAACGCGGUUAAAGACAGAUGGAAAGGUUAUUUCAUAAUCUUUUCAAUGAAGGACAUGAAAGGAGUGAUUCUUUAGGGGAGUUGAGUAACUCAGAAGAGUGUAGAAACUACUCUUUUUAUCGUAGAAUCCGAAAGGAAGAAGUGGGUGUAGCUUUGAAGAAGAUGAAGCAUAGAAAAGCAGUAGGCCCAGACGAUAUACCAAUCGAAGUGUGGAAAGUUUUGGGAGAGAUAGGUAUAACAUGGCUCACUGACCUUUUCAAUAGGAUUUUGAAAACGAAGAAGAUGCCGAAUGAGUGGCGAAUGAGCACUUUGGUGCCUAUCUACAAGAAUAAGGGCGAUGUACAAAAUUGCAUGAACUAUAGGGGAAUUAAGCUAAUGAGUCAUACAAUGAAGCUCUGGGAGAGAGUCAUUGAGCAUAGAUUGAGGCAAGAGACACGGGUUUCGGACAACCAAUUCGGGUUCAUGCCAGGGCGCUCAACCAUGGAGGCAAUCUAUCUCUUACGAAGAUUGAUGGAAAAAUAUAGAGAUGGGAAAAAGGAUUUACACAUGGUCUUUAUAGAUUUGGAAAAAGCGUAUGAUAAGGUCCCAAGAGACAUUCUUUGGAGGAUUUUAGAGAAGAAAGGAGUACGAGUAGCAUAUAUCCAAGCUAUACAGGAUAUGUAUGAAGGAGCAAAGACUGCCGUAAGAACUCAUGAAGGACAAACCGAAAGCUUUCCCAUAACUGUAGGAUUACAUCAAGGCUCAUCCUUAAGUCCUUACCUUUUUGCGUUGGUAAUGGAUGAGUUAACAGGACAUAUUCAAGGUGAUAUUCCUUGGUGUAUGCUUUUCGCAGACGAUAUAGUGUUGAUAGAUGAAACUCAGGAAGGGGUAAAUGCAAAGCUUAACCUUUGGAGAGAAGUGUUGGAAUCUAAAGGUCUUCGCCUAAGCCGAUCAAAGACAGAAUAUAUGGAGUGCAAGUUCAGUGCAAAUGGAGGCCAAAACGAGUUAGGGGUGAGGAUCGGAGAUCAAGAAAUACCAAAGAGCGACCGUUUUCGUUACCUAGGAUCUAUCUUGCAAAAGAACGGAGAAUUAGAUGGAGAUCUCAACCAUAGAAUACAAGCUGGAUGGAUGAAGUGGAAGAGUGCAUCCGGCGUGUUGUGUGACCGCCGUAUGCCACUGAAGCUCAAGGGAAAAUUUUAUAGGACGGCAAUAAGGCCGGCGAUGCUGUAUGGCACAGAAUGUUGGGCGGUGAAGCAUCAACACGUACACAAAAUGGGUGUAGCAGGAGAUGAGGAUGCUUCGUUGGAUGUGUGGGCACACGAGAAAGGAUAAGAUUAGGAAUGAGGAUAUCCGGGGUAAAGUAGGAGUAGCCGAAAUUGAAGGAAAGAUGAGAGAAAAUCGGUUACGGUGGUUUGGACAUGUGCAAAGAAGGCCUACUGACGCUCCGAUUAGAAGAUGCGACUAUGGGACAGAGGGUUCAGGGCCGAAGGGGCAGAGAAAGACCUAGGAAAACUUUGGAAGAGACCCUAAGAAAAGACUUAGAGUACUUGGAUCUAACGGAGGACAUGACACAGGACAGAACACAAUGGCGUUCUAAGAUUCAUAUAGCCGAUCCCACUCAGUGACUUGGAUUUUCCAAGUCUCCAACCGAGAAGUUUUCCUCACUCGGGAAAUUAAGGGAACACUACCUCAACCUAUAUGCUCCACUCACAAAGCUUCAACAUACAAGCUUCAACAAAAGAAAAUUCAAAGAACUUAGCGAAGAAGGCUUUGGUGUAUUUAACACAAUACGUUGAAAUGAAGGAAAGCUUAUUUAUUGAUAUCCCCGAUAAGUUACAAAUAUGUACAUAUACUUGAGUCAAAAUAAACAAACAAGAGGGAGCCUUCACAAAGGUUGCUUAGGAGAAGUCUCAGCAGUCGGUAGAGCCCCAGAAAGAGAAGGCACCGGAGGGGGAUCAUUCGGAGCCUCAGUACUGGACAGAACCCCUAGAAGGAGGAGGCAUCAGAGGUUGAUCAUUUGGAGCUUCAUUACGCGGUACAGCCCCAGAAGACGAAGGCAAUAAAUGCCUUUGGAACAAACCCACAAAUCUCUGAUGAUCAAGUAAAACCUGACCAUCAGAUUCCUUCAUCUGGUCAAGCUUCCUCUUCAUGUUUGUAGCAUAGUCAUGUGCGAGCCGGUGCAACUGUUUAUUCUCAUGCUUGAGCCCUCUAAUCUCCUGUUUGAGACUCAUCACUUCAGCCGCCAAUGAUUCAACUUGGCGGGUUCGAGCAAAUAGGCGUUGGGCCAUAUUAGACACAGAACCUGCACACUGAACACUGAGAGCCAGAGAAUCCUUAACAGCCAACUCAUCAGACCGUUUGGAAAGUAGUCUGUUAUCUUUGGGAGUGAGAAGGUUCCUGGCCACUACCGCAGCGGUCAUAUCAUUCUUCAUCACGGAAUCCCCAACGGUAAGAGGACCAGUAGGGGAGACGAAGGAUGGGCGCCAUAUGUUGUCUGGAGAAGGCGGGGCUGCCUCUUCAACAAGGUUCAAGUCAAAACGACGGUCGGAGGGGCCAGACAUUUUCAAAGGUGUUGAAGAGAGAAGAGGUCGGACAAAUCAAGAUCUUAGAAGUGCAAGAAUGGAGCUUCUACUGGUGGAUAUUCAAGUGUGCUUUGGAACUUAAUGUCAGCCCCUAUAAAAAUCUGCACUCGACGAAGCUUCAGAAAUCGAAGAGGCGCCUGCUCAGAAAUCGAAGAGGCGUUUGCUUUCUCAAAAGCUGGGCUGCUCAGAGACCACGAGGGUCGAUCUCAGAAAUCGAAGAGGCGUUUGCUUUCUCAAAAGCUGGGCUGCUCAAAGACCACGAAGGCCGAUCUCAGAAAUCGAAGAGGCUUGCUUUCUCAAAAGCUGGGCUGCUCAGAGACCACGAGGGCCGAUCUCAGAAAUCGAAGAGGCACCUACUUUUUCCAGCCUUGUCAGCACCUGUCACACGCACACUCAGCUUUGCGGAAAUUAUGGGCAUUCUGUCGAAGAUUUCUGGCGAAGUAGAAAGCACAUGAAUCGUACUGUUCAAUCACCCACUUCCCACACGCAACAGUAGCUCAUGGGUACCACAGAUAACUUUGCCAAAGUUCUCUGACAAAGUUGAGACACGUGAAGCUUGCAGCUCCCACUACAUCGCUCUGACCAAGAAGGGUAAAAGAAUAGCAAAGAAACAACACUAACAAAGUUUAGACACAUAAAUUUUGAAGGUCUAGCUACCAUAUUAUUACCCACAAGGGUAAAGGAACAGUACCACUGCUGGAUAAUUGGAAAGUCCCGGUGUGUCAACCUCUGUGCUUCGUGGCAAGGUAGACUAGCAAACAUGCCCAACCUUUACUCACAUUCGAGAAAACACUCCCAACAAGAUUGCUUGCUCCAAAAUCGAAGAGGCACCGCCCUCCGAAUCUCGAGAGCCAGACUCCCAACAUGAUUACUUUCUCAAAAAUCGAAGAGAGGGUAAAGGAACAGUACCACUGCUGGAUAAUUGGAAAGUCCCUGUGUGUCAACCUCUGUGCUUCGUGGCAAGGUAGACUAGCAAACAUGCCCAACCUUUACUCACAUUCGAGAAAAACACUCCCCAACAAGAUUGCUUGCUCCAAAAUCGAAGAGGCACCGCCCUCCGAAUCUCGAGAGCCAGACUCCCAACAUGAUUACUUUCUCAAAAAUCGAAGAGAGGGUAAAGGAACAGUACCACUGCUGGAUAAUUGGAAAGUCCCUGUGUGUCAACCUCUGUGCUUCGUGGCAAGGUAGACUAGCAAACAUGCCCAACCUUUACUCACAUUCGAGAAAACACUCCCAACAAGAUUGCUUGCUCCAAAAUCGAAGAGGCACCGCCCUCCGAAUCUCGAGAGCCAGACUCCCAACAUGAUUACUUUCUCAAAAAUCGAAGAGACAUCCGCUCUCCGAAUCUCGAGAGCCAGACCCCCAGCAGGAUUGCUUUCUCAAAAAUCGAAGAGGCAUCGUUUCUCCGAAUCUUCGAAGAGCCAGGAUCUCCUUGGAUAAAGCUUGUCUGUAAUCUUCACACGCAACAUCAGCUUUCCAGAUACCACAGACCACUUUUUCAAAGUGCUCUGACAGAGUUAAAACAUGUGAAGCUGGCAGCUCCCACUACCGUGCUAUGACCAAGCAGGGUAAAGGAAUAACAUUAUUACUUGAUGUUAGGGAGACUCCUAUAUAUGUCGACCUCCAUCCCUAACGGACAGGCAGACCUGCAAAAAUGCUCAACCCUUCCUCUUAUCUGAGAGGGCACUCCCAACGAAGCCUUUCGAAAUAUUCAGCUUUCUUUCCCCCCGAUAAUACCUCUGUAAACAAGCUAUACUAGAGCAAGAAUAUCUCAUAUCAUCAGGGUUAAAAGCAAGAGUAUCCCAUAUCAUGCUUUUUCCCUGUCUUUUCCUUUGGCCUUGUUCUUACCUGCAAGACAAGGAGAAAGAGAGCAAUCAGUCAGCACUUGGAAUCAAGCUUCCAGCCAGGAACUGACUGCCUGGAACCCCUUACCUGAUUACUUACCUGGCAUUGCUCUCGAGUACUCAUCUUCAACAUCUUAUGCUUCCAGGGAAGAUACCGCAUCUGCCUGAGGAACAGAUAGGGCAAGUGAGAAGGAUACAAGGAAGCAUGUGGAGACAAGCGUAACAGCACACGUGCCGAUACAUCCACUACUCUGUCAAAAGCAAAAGUAUCCCAUAUCAGCAGGGUCGAACGUACUCUAGAUUUGAUGGACUUGUUUUGACCCUCAAAUUCUUCAGUCGGCCUUAUACUCUGGAGGAAACCAGAAAACCCUCCAGCCCAGUUCAAGAAUAAGCCUGUGGAAAGUUACUUCUUCAAAAGCAAAAGUAUCCCAUAUCAUCUCUUCUCAUUUUUCUUCUCUUUAUCCUUCAUGCUGCCUGCAAGAUAGGGAGAAUGUGAACAAUCAGCCGGAGCUCUGAUUGCUUACCUUGUCUGUCACCUCUUUCAGCAGAUCCCCUAGCUCGGCGACUUGGGGGACUCCUACUACAUGGUUUGUAUCGCGCUUGACCAAGCCUGAAACUACAAGUAAGCUUCAAGUGAAAUUGAUACAUUACCUUGUGCAUCUCCACCAGUUACAGAUACCACCCCUGGAUGGAGGAAGAGUACUUCCAGAGAAGAUGCCUACCUAUGAGACAGAUAAGGCAAGUCAAGACGAUACCACACUCCGGUACUUAGAAGUUUCGUGGCUUACGAGAUCAUUCUCCCACAAUAUUUCCUAAUGUCAUUUGUACUAAAUCAUUCACUUGUACUCACUAAAGGAGAGCUUGAACCUAUGUACUUGUGUAAACCCUUCACAAUUAAUGAGAACUCCUCUAUUCCGUGGACGUAGCCAAUCUGGGUGAACCACGUACAUCUUGUGUUUGCUUUCCUAUCUCUAUCCAUUUAUAUACUUAUCCACACUAAUGACCGGAGCAAUCUAGCGAAGAUCACAAAAAGUGACCGUUUUCGCUACCUAGGAUCUAUCUUGCAAGAGAACGGAGAAUUAGAUGGAGAUCUCAACCAUAGAAUACAAGCUGGAUGGAUGAAGUGUAAGAGUGCAUCCGGCGUGUUGUGUGACCGUCGUAGGCCACUGAAGCUCAAGGGAAAAUUUUAUAGGACGGCAAUAAGGCCAGCGAUGUUGUAUGGCACAGAAUGUUGGGCGGUGAAGCAUCAACACGUACACAAAAUGGGUGUAGCGGAGAUGAGGAUGCUUCGUGGGAUGUAUGGGCACACGAGAAAGGAUAAGAUUGGGAAUGAGGAUAUCCGAGGUAAAGUAGGAGUAGCCAAAAUUGAAGGAAAUAUAAGAGAAAAUCGGUUCCGGUGGUUUGGACAUGUGCAAAGAAGGCCUACUGACGCUCCGGUUCGAAAAUGUGACUACGGGACAGAGGUUCGGGGCCGAAGGAGUAGAGGAAGACCUAGGAAAACUUUGGAAGAGACCCUAAGAAAAGACUUGAGUACUUGGAUCUAACGGAGGACAUGACACAAAUGAGCGCAAUGGCGUUCUAGGAUUCAUAUAGCCGACCCCACUUAGUGGGAAAAGGCUUUGUUGUUGUUGUUGUUGUUGUUGGUGAACGACUUUGCUUGAGCCAAUUAUACUACGAUAAUCUUGUUUCUCUAACAAGUAUUUUAGUUGUUUUUAACCUUUUCCAGGUGUAAAAAUAUCUGUCACCCCCUCAACAUGGAUGCCUCUAAUAUGGCUAAUCAGUCAGACCGACAUCCAACCGAUCGGGUCGGUGUCGGGUCGGUGACCAGAUCGAGCUAGCAGAUCAGACCGACAUCCAAGAAGCUGCAAAAUUAGAAGGCAACAAUAUUACAGUUUUAACAAGUAGCAUGGAUCCUGAUGCUUUCAACGCUGCAAAACAAGGCAAUCUCGAUGUCCUUAAGGAACAUGGCGAGAAUCUGGACAAAAUAUUGACUGCAACCAAGAACACAGUCCUUCAUAUCUAUACAACAUGCUAUAGGCACCCAACGUAUGAAGGAUCUGGCGAUGAGAUACUUGAGUCAAUGAACACUGUGAACGGUAUCCUUAAAAUGUGUCCAGUAUUACUAUGACAGCAGAACGAGAGUGGUGAUACUGCCCUACACAUUGCGGCAAGAUAUGGGCGUGCUGGUAUAGUUAUAGCUCUCAUCCAAGCUGCAAAAACUUAUUAUCCAGGCAACCUCGAGCAAGGCUGUGCGAUUGCAUCAGAAGAUGCCCUCUCGUAGGAGCAAAAGCUCAUCAGGAAAACCAACAAGAAGAAUGACACAGCACUACACAAAGUUGUUCGCGCUUCACCACACCAAAGUAAUUAAAGCGGACAACUUCGUGCAGUGUUGUGUCCUUCUUGUUGUUGGUUUUCCUGAUGAGCUUUUGCUCCUGCGAAGGGGCAUCUUCUGAUGUGAUCGCACAGCCUUGAUCAAGGUUGCCUGGAUAAUAAGUUUUUGUAGCUUGGAUGAGAGCUAUAACUAUACCAGCACGCCCAUAUCUUGCCGCGAUGUGUAGAGCAGUAUCACCACUCUCGUUCUGCUGCCAUAGUAAUGCUGGACACAUUUUAAGGAUACCCUUUCACAGUGUUCACUUAGAAAACCCUGAGUUUUCCUACUCUGCUGAUGAUGCCGGCGAGACUCCUCUCUACCUAGCUGUCGAGAGGGGAUACGAUCAUUAUUGUCUUCAAAUACUUGAAGGUUGCAAAAAUCCAACAUAUGAAGGCCCAAAUGGUAGGAUGGCUUUGCACGCUGCAGUUAUCCGCAAUGAUGAAGGUAAAUGUAUAUAGAAAAUAGUUAAAGAAUAUUCCUUUUAUCUGUGAUUUUGCAAUUGAAUUCUUGGGAUAGUCUUGUGAUUAUUGUAGGGUUUCAUGCUUUAGUUUUAAGCGACCCCCUUCGUUAAUCUUGCUGUAUUCAUUAUGAAUUUUGUUUCACCUUGCAGCUGUUGCCGGCGUGCAUUUGUCACACAAAACUGCCGGGAACCUUUCAGCCAUAUUCGAUGUUGGAGGAGUCUUUGGUGGAAUUUUAGCAGGAUUGAUAUCUGAUAUGCUCGAAGCUAGAGCUGUAACCUCAAUCGCGUUUUUGUUACUUUCGGUUCCAGCCCUUGUUCUCUACCGGUUUUAUGGAAGCCUAUCGAUGGUCGCCAACAUUGUUUUGAUGUUUCUUUCGGGAUUGCUGGUGAAUGGGCCGUACUCACUCAUCACAACAGCCGCUGCUGCUGAUCUUGGUACGCAGACCACGAUCAAAGGAAAUUCCCAAGCAUUAGCCACUGUAACUGCAAUCAUAGACGGAAUAGGUUCUGUUGCAGCUCUUGGCCCGCUUUUGGCCGGGUAUAUCUCCACGACGGGGUGGAACAACGUGUUUGUUAUACUGAUUCUUGCUAUUUUCUGUGCAAUUUGUUUUUGAUUCGGAUUGCGAGAACCGAGAUUAAAGGGAAAUUGAAUGAGGGAAAAUGGUCUUUAUAUAGCCGCAUAGGAGGCACACAGUGAUUGAGAUUUUCUAAUUUCUUGUCAUACCACAAAAGCAAGUAGAAUUUAGGCAGAUCCAUUUCUCUGUACGGUUUUUUAUCUCAUUGUUUUGUUCAACAUUCAUUAUUCAAAAUUCAACUUAUUUUUAAAAUAGAAAUUUGGUUACUUCGCUGCGGCAAUCCACCUCAGAAUGUUUAGAAUGGUGGCUCCUGCUCCUUGGGAGGUACCAAAUAAAUGACUACUUGAAUUGGGAUUUUGAGCAUAAAGAUUCCACUGGUCUGUAAAAAGUGGACCUAAUCCUUGGGGAUGUGGCAAUACAUCUAAGAAAUUAUUCCAUCGAAUGUUUUCUCCCCUGGAUUCGGGAAUGGCGACAUGAACUAAAUGUCCUGUCCAAGCCAAGGAACUCACUCCGAAUAGUUCUGAUAAGUGAUGAUUUGGAUGAAAUUCGACAUUUUUAGAUAAAGAAGUGCUUUGAAUCAUUGCUAUUCGACUUGUUUGUUGACACGGACAAAGUCAAGGAAAAACAUUUGAAAUUAUUUCAAUAUUGGACCUUGGACAUAUAAUAGUACCGAAUAGAAUCUCUUUAGAAAAAAAGAUCUUUUGUCUCAUGUUAGCCUGCUCCAGUUCCCUUACGAAACUUAAAGAGUUAGAGAGUUAAGCGGAAAUAAACAUAAACAGAAGUGUUUUCCCCCAAGAUUGGUUGGUUAGUCAUCCUGACUUGAAACAGGUUCCAAAGAUCAACUGAUUGGCCGUGUAUUAGCAGACGAUAUAUAUAUAGGCACACGAUGUAUUGCCGUUCGAAAUCAAGUAUUGGGAUUGGACUUGUCACUUGAUUCAUAACCUUUCAAACACAACCAAUAUCUAUCUGAACCUCCUUUACUUAUAGGAGUACAUCUUGGAUCUGUCGAUUAUGUUAUGGCAGAAACCCCACUCAUGGUGACCUGGUUGAAUUGGGAGAAACUGUAGGUAUUAUUGCAGGUCAAUCUAACCCUUCUUGAAGCCAGGACAAAACACAACUUAUUGAUUAUACCACAAAAGUUGGUUUUUAUUAAUUUUCUCUUAAAAUUUUUUAUUUUUAUUUUUUCAAUUUGGUGUGUAUAUGUCACGUGGACAGUCCAUGAGCCACUUAAAAGGUGAACGAUUUUUGGCCCUCACUACACCCACCGUCGUGAACGAAUUGAACGCAUACUCUAACAACCAUAUAUCUGAGUGCACCAAAAUGACAAUUUAACCCUCGUAAGUAGCUCGAGUAUUGUUCGCGUGACAAAUGUGAAAACAAUUUUGAAUAGGGGCUCGAUUGAAUGUGCUUUUAAAAUGACUGAAAGAGUUUUUGGUUAAAAUGUUUUUAGAACCAAUAUUUAAUAAAAAUGUAAGUGAAUCCUAAAAAAGUACUUGAAGUGCUUUCUAGAAGAAAUUCAAGUGCUUUUAAAACUUAAAAACAUUUUUUUUAAACUUAUUUUAAAAGCGGUUUCAGUUAUUCUAAAAGUACUUUCAGAUAAACCUUCCAAUGUUGAGUCAUUUAAAACCGAGCACAAACAUGGCACGUCGUCAAUUUCUUUUAAUGACGAUAAAAUGGUAAAAGGGAUCCUGGGCUAAAUUCACCAAUCCAGGCUCUUGAAAUUUGAUCCAACUAUCAAGGUUAUUAUAACUUUUAAAGAAGGUCAUGUUUUUAGCCGUUGGAUCAAAUUUCGAUCAUUUUCCAAUAAAAUGACGUGGUUUCGGCCCCCGUUUCCUGUUCUUUGCCCGCGCAAGCACUUUGUACCUUCAGGCCCAAGGAAGAAAAAAAGGGAAAGGGUUUCCCUAUUGGCCGUGGGAUUACUCAAAAGAGUUAGAAAUGACCUAUUUUUGAUAGGAAAACCAUGUCAAUUACCUGUUUAAACAUGGAUUUCUACGCACCACUAUAAAUGAACACCCUCCCUCCCGCCACCAUGAACGAACACAAACAACACCAACAGUUUCUCGAGCUCUUAAUUUCCCGGCCGCGAAAAACUUGUAAGUCGAGAGGAAUUCAACUUGUAAGUCGAGACAUGGGUUCGGCUGGCUCGAAGAGCAAGCAAGACAAUGCGAAGAGAAAGGACUUGAUGAAAUCAGUGAAGAUGAACAGGUACGCGUUUGCGGAUGCACAGCGCGAGCAUAUUCUCGCGCUCCUUAAAGUAGCGGAGGCUAUAAAGUUGUUUGUAGAAAGCCAUUCUUUCGAAGUUUCGACGCACUCUUCAAAUGCAGACAGAGGAAACGAGCUGCAGGAAAACUCAGACUGUGCUGAGACAGAUGAGGAACAAGAGGAGGUGGAUCAAACAGUGCCGUCACCGCGGGGAGAUUCCGAUUGCUCCGAUGGUGACGGUGAUAGAAAAGAGGUGGUGAAGACAAGUAAUGAAAAGGGUAGAGAGAGAGAAUUGUUGGAAGCAUUGAAAGAUGUCGAAGACUACUUCCGUCGGGCGUAUGAUUCUGGUUUGCACGUUUCGAGGAUGUUAGAGACCGACAUGGCUCAGGUGCAAUCAGCAGCCGAGGAAAUUAAAGGGAAUCUCAACCGUUCAAUGACGCGGAGCCGCUCCAUCUCAUCUACAUUAUCUUGGUCUUCCUCUCGUAAAAGUCUACGUAAAUCUAGCUUAAGAAGUUCUUCAACACGGGCUUGUUUCGAUGGUGGUCUCCUCGGUGACAAGGGAUCUCCAAGCCAUUCGUUAACGAUAGGAAAGCUAUAUGCUUUGGAGGAAAACCUCUACAGCGAGCAGAAGGUAAUAGAGGAAACUGAGAAAAUUUGUGACCGAAAAUCGGAAGAUCUAGACACCAAAAUAUACGAGAUUGAAAGCUUGUAUUGCAGAAUUUUGACGGCCAAAAAGAAUGCUAAAUCAAUCUCCGAGACAAUUCGGAAAAUGAGAGAUGAAGAGCUACAACCACAGCUCGUUAAGUUGUUAAAAAGGUAACCUAGAUUUCAUAGUUUUACUGGUUUUUUUUUUUUAGUUGGAGUUUUGUUCUAACCUCUCUUUCUCAAUUUCUGCAGCAUAAUGAGCAACUCAAAGAAAAUGUCUGAAUUUCUGGAAACCCAAAAGAGAAUAAUGUCCGAAGUGAACUCUCUCAAAUGUCCGUCCAAUGGAACGCUCUGCAAUGACUCGAACCAGGUUGCUACUCGGAUGCUCGAAAAGGAACUUCUAAAUUGGCGUACACACUUUGCGUCGUAUGUUUCUUCGCAAAAGGCGUACGUCAAAGCUCUAGACCGCUGGCUAGCUAAGUUGGACGAUGCUGAAACUGAAAGCAAGUUAAAAUCAAAGGGGGUUAACCCGUCAUCGCUUGCAAUUUGUCGACAGUGGUCAGAUGGCCUAGAUAAGCUGCCGUAUCAAGCUGUGACUGGCGCCAUCAAAAGCUUCGUGAAAGAUGUCCGGGCACUGAGGGAUCAACAACAUAAGGAGCGCCGACAAAAGAGGGAGGUUGACAAGCUUGCCAGAAGACUCAGGAGGGAGAAUUUUUUGCAGGAAACAGACCUCAAGGAACAGAUGCGGACUGAGAAGAAGAAACUUCAUACUAUUACGCAGAAGAUGCAAGAUAUCGCUGUGAACGGAUUUCAGACGCAGUUUUCUGAAGUUUUCGGUUCCAUGGCUAAAUUUUUCGACUCCAUGGCCGAGUUGUUUUCAAAGUCUGCUACAAAAAAGUCUGGUCGUCCAAGCAAAAAUGCAAGCAGGACUCGUGUGAAAGCGAUCGACAGAUGAAAAGGAUGCGUACUAGGUUUUCAGAAUGUUGGGUUUCUUUUAAAGUAUACAAUUAUGUACUCUUGUUCGAAUAACAGUAACCUUAACAAUUACAAAUUUUGAGUUCUAACAGAUAAAAUUUAUGCAUACGACUUGAAAAACUAAGGUACAAUAACAGAACAAUCUCUCCGUAAAUCCGACCAGCCUGAAUACCUCGGAUAUACAAUGCGUUCUUUCAUCGAAUAAGCUUUCUAACUCUAUCGUUCGCCAAUAGGGUACAAGUAUUUAUUCCAAAACUCGAUAAUACAAACAUCUUCUGCAUCCUUGUUCUCUGGAACAGAUUCCAGCACCGGAUUUUGGAUGAAUGUAUAUACAUAAGGCGAACUCAGGUCCAUUGGCUGUAUUAUUGCUGACCGGUUGCCCAUCAAGGAAUUAUCGACAAAUAAACGAGUGAUUCUAUCUGUCCAAGAAGAAUUUGAGAUUCUGAAGUCCCUCGGCAGAAAUGCUUCGUCUGACUCGAGGUCUCUCUACCACCACAUGUGGAGGUGGCUCCAAGUGGAAACUUACCAUGACAAGCGUCAAAUUGUCCGUUGCUCCCCGCUUUAUUGCCUCCUCUACUAUUUGCUUGCAGCACAACUUCACAUCAUUGUGCUCUUGCAGUCUCCUUCGAGCGAAAUCAACAGCAUUUCGGCUGGUGAACACAUCCCAUAUCCCAUCACUGCCAAUGAUCAAAAACUCAUCAUCUUUGCUCAGUGUCAUCAGUUUAAGUUCUGGCUCAGCGCUCAAGGGUCCGCCCCUUUCACCCACGUCCUUCAUUCCUUCAAGAUGCCAAUUACCUAAUGCACGGGUCACACCUAACUCACCAUUUAGAAAACCAUCAUCAAUAUAUCCACCCAAGGACUCAAUCCGCGUUCUUUCUUUUGUACAACAUGGCCUAUGAUCCCUUGACAUUUCUAUAGCCACUCCACAUCGCGAUAAUACAGCCCGGCAAUCUCCGGCAUUUGCCACAAGCAAAGAUCUGUUCAAAAUAAUAAUAUCAAGGUGAAACAGGCUAAUUGGCACACAAAAGGUCUAAUAAAUAAAAAAAUAAGCAGUCUCAAGAACGGGGCUUGACAAGGUAAAACCGGAACUUGGGUGGGGAGAUAUAGGGCAUGGAUACCAUUUUUAUUUUUUGUUUUGCUCAUUCAAAGACAAUUCAUUUUUCCACGUAACACCGAAUGAAUGGGCCUAUGAAGUUUUUUCUCUUACUCUUUAACCUGAUGACCAAGACUUGCAGUGACAGAUUAUCCAAGACACCACUUGUAAUAUAACACCAUGAUUAUAAAUAAUAACCAACCUACACCGCAAGAAAGAGUUCCUUACCUCCCAAAUAUCAUUGCAGUGAGUGCAGUUGUGCCAGAAACAAGAGCCUCAAGAGAACACGUCUUUGCAAAUGCAGCAUCUGUCUCCAUAAAUGACCUUGUAAUCACCUUUUCAAGUUCUAAAGGAAAGUCAGCAUCCUCAACAAUGACUCUUGGUAAAUUGUCACGAACAAAGUGUGCUGCAUCCUUUCCUCCAUGGCCAUCAAAUACCUGUUUAUUCAAAUUUCCAUUUACAUUAUUAAGAUUGGAGAAAAAACAGAAGUCAGAACUGAUGUAUGAGCUUUCAUUGGGAUGGUUUGAAUUGUUGUAAAAGGAAGAGAGCGAGAAAACUUACACCAUAGAAGGAGAUAGCUUCCCCACCGAGUAGAUUAUAACCAAACUGCUUAGCUAAGUCACCAAUGCAUAUAUGAGUAUCCUCCAUAUGGGUUCGACCACCAAUAUCAGACCACUCUCCUGACCGAAGGGCAGGAACAAAGUUCAACAGGCUCUGCUUUUUGUCUGCAAUCACUGUAUCCUCGCCUAUGCUUUCAAGCUAAAAGGCGGUAAACAUGAACGAACUCAAAUCAGAAUGUGAAGGAAUGCAAGUAAAAAGAUUAAGGAAACAAAUUUUUGGAAACCAAAGUUACACCAAGUAUUAUAUGCACAGUUUCAUAUGGAAAAUGUUCUCCAACCAGAAAACGAACCACAAAAUCAAUUCACAAAAGUUGACAUAGCAACUAAACAUCAACGCCGACGGGAUGCCACCAAAAGGAUGAGAAAUGAAAACCUACUAAAGCAAAGUCUAAGGCUGUGAAUAUAUAAAUUCUGUCAACACAUAACAAGCACCAAUUUCCCUCCAUAUUCCACAAUCCAAGGAAUCUUUGAAAGGAAGAGCUUUAAUCAUAAGCAUUCAGCUGCACAGAGCACAAUAAGGAAAUACAUAACUUCUGCAAAGGAAUCGCCUCACGAUCAAUGAAAGCGAAACACAGAAGUGAAAUUUACUAAAUUGGGGUGGUUCAAGGCUUCAGGCACAAAAAUUUCGUUUAAGAUGCAGCACAGCAGCAGUACAAGCUAAUGACUACAGGAAAAUUAAUGGGAGCAGUGCAAGGAUAAAAAAAAAUUAACUGAAAGCUUAAGUAAAUAAUAAAGGGUAAAAGUUACUUCCAAUCAUCAAUCCCAUAAGAAAACAAAGAUCCAGAACUCAAUUUCAAACAAAAGGUCCUAAAACGUUUCAAAAUUGAGACAAACCCAACAGAGCAAAGCAGUCAAAGAACAAGAAGCUUCACUUUCAAAUGAAUUCAACAGGGUUUUCUGAAGACUGGACUCAAAUUUUACCAAAUGGGUCCAAAAAAGUUGCAAAAUUGAGAAGAACCCAAUACAAUCAAGCAGUCAAGGGACAAAAGUUUAUACUUGAAAUCAAUUCAACACUCAAGUUUAGCCAAAGGGGUCCUAAAAGUUUCAAACUUGAGACAAACCCAACAUAUUUAAGCAGUCAAAGGACAAGAAUUCUUACUUGAAACGAAUUUAUCAUGUUCUUCUGAGGACUUGAGCUCAUCACAGUAGGAGUUUCCCGGUCCAAAUUCUCCUCCUCCGUCCGGUGGUCUAAUUGCAGAGACCACUGCUUGUUGUUAUUGUCGUUGGAAUCGAUGUCGUUAUUAUUCUCCAUGUUCCCCAUUUCUUGACCGAGCUGUUCUGCGUCUAUCAGGCACAUGAUGGUGCUGAUGAAAUUGUUAAUGGCGGUGUUACUGUGUUUCUGAGGGAAUCGGAAAGUAGUAAGAAACAGAGAGGGAAGAAAAAUAUAGAUUUGUGGGUGACUCUGGUGAGAAGAUUCUGAGAAUAUGUGAGUGGGAAAUAGGGGCCUCUGGUUAUUGUAGUUGUUGUUGUAGUCUCAGAGAGGAGAGAGAGAGAGAGAGAGAGAGAGAGAGAGAGAGAGAGAGAGGAAUGCCAGAUUUUUCUGUGAAAGCGUGGCUGGAAACCAGUUUGUUGGGUUCUUGUGAUAUUAUUAUAUCUUUUUCCUAUUUUCAUUGUUCAAAUGUUUUAUGUUUAUAUUUUUUUUAUUGGUAAAUAAAAAAUUUCAUUUUAUUUUAAAAAUUUACAUUGCAUUUCAUUCUCUUUUUUUAACAAAUAAUUGAAUAAUCUAUAGAAAUUUAUCUAAACCAUGUAAAGUGAGGAAAGUUUCAAUUCGAAACUUCAAGCGGUCCAAAAGCUAUCUAGAUUUGGAGUUAAAAUGAAUUAUUCCCUUAAAAUUAAUAAUUACAAUAGUAAUAGUCAACUGAUUUUACUAUACAUUAUCAAAUAAUAUGAGUUAUCUUCAAUUAGUUGGUGCACUCGUUAAAUCUUUUGAACUUUUUCGGUGCACAUUUAAUUAUUAAAAUGUUUUUAGGUUAUGGAUGAAUUACAUGUCUAUAUUCCACAAGACACGUUCUAAAUUCAAUUUCUGAUGCUGAUGAAUCACAAGAUGACGGUUAAUGAGAAGCUGAAAUGCUUUUGUGAAUCUUCGAGGGUAUGAAAGAAUGAACUGAUGUUGACCAAGGCACGCUAAAAUGCCAUUGUACUUCAUGCAUUUUUGUUUUCUAAUAGUUUCGUUAAAAUCAACAUCUUUAUUUUAUCAAAUCUCAUAAAUUUAGAGAUACCAUUUUUCCCUCAAUAUUUUAGAGAGACGUCAAACUAUGCUCAAAAUUCCCAUAUGGAAGAAAUGUCCUCGAAAUUAUCUAAAAAUGCCUUUAUUUUGCUUUUAUUAAAUCUAAAUUGUCAUUUGAUUAAAUGCCACAACUAGACAAAAAGAAAGUUCCAUCUGAAAAUGUCUUAACCAUUAAUAACUAAUUAAUUAAUUAAUUUGGUAGUAACCACCAUUAGCCAAAAAUCACAGUCUUAAUCGUCCCUUUUUGACAAUAUAUUAUUAGAUGCGUGAGAAUAUACAAUUUUAAGUGCAAUGACCAAAUAUAUUUCACAAUUGAUGAUAAAAAAUAAAUAUAAAACAUUAAAAAAGAAUUGUGCUUACAUCACGCACAGCUGUGGGAUAUGUCCUUGAAUUUUUGAUAAAAAAAGACAUAUAUCAGAAUAUAAAAAAUAAGACAAAUUCCAUGUUGUUUUGGUCGGUAGACAAUUUCCUUAUUUAAACACUAAAAAAAGAAGUUUUGUUUCUUGUUAGAAUUAAAAAAAAAAACCAUUGACCGUGGUAAUAAAUAGAUAAGCUACACAAUAAACCAUCUAUAAUUUUGUAAUCGAAGUUAUUAUCUACAGAAGUCGAAGUCAAAACCGCAUGCUUACAAAUACAAAAAAAUAUAACUAAAUUUAAACUAAGUGACUAAACUAGAAAAGAAGUUAAAAAUGAAAGAAAUGUUUGGGCAAAAAUAGAACAAAAAAUCUCCAAGGAUGGGAUUUGGAAUAGACUUCCAAGAUAUAAGUAACUAUACAUGGUGGUGUUAUUCACACACUUCUUUUUUUACUUUUAACACAUAUUCUGUUAAUUUAUGUCAUUUUAUUCUCUUCAAUUUAUUAAAUAUGAAGGCUAAAAAUUGAAAUAAAUGUGCAGAAGGUAAAUGAGGUGUGUGGAUAGCACCAUCUCUUAUAUAUGAUGGGUUUUGUUUCAUCCUUUUUACCCUCUACACCCCCUUUGUUAGUUUCUGUACUUUAAUUCUCUUCAAUUCAUUAAAUCUGAAAUCUGAAAAAUUGAGAGAAAUGGGUAAAAGGUAAAAAAAUGUGUGUGGAUAGCACCACUUCUAUUGAGUUUUGUUUCGUUGCAUAACUUUCCAUAACACAUAAGAUAGAAGAGUAGUCGGCUUGAUUAAGUUAGCGCAUAUAUACUUAACCCAAAAAUAUUUAAUCUUCCACCUGAUUUUUCCUACACUUGUCCAUCAAGCCUCAGAAUAUGAUGGGAGGAAUUCUACUGCCCCAACAAUUAUUUUCAAAUCCAUAAGAUUUGUCCAAGGCCUAAUAAGUUAAAAGACAAGUUAUAUUAGGAAGUUAGUUUAAUUUAAUUUGACAACAAUUGCUCCAAAAAAGUUAGAAAGUGAAACUAAAGGACAUAUUCAUUAAAAGGAAAUGAUAAUGCCAGAAAAUGACAUUGGAUUUUUUCUUCUGCUUUCCACUUUCACAAUGGCAAAUUGAUAGGGCUUAAAUUCUGAUUCUUGAAUGUAAUCGGGAUAUACAGAUUCUUUAUAUAUUUCUCAUCGUGAAAAUUGAUAUACAUGGAGAAAAAAGUAAUACAGUUGUAUGUAGAACUAUAAAGAAACGAAAUAAAACUUACAUGCAUUUAGAAGUGCACAAUGGUAUUCACAAAUCGUGAUACGUUUCAACAAUUUUUCACAUAAUAAUAAAUAAUUAACUUGAAAUACCACAACCAUAGCAUCCGGUUGUAGAAGUCUUUCGUGCUUUUGCCUUUUGCCUCUACGAAGGGUUGCUUGCUAGUUGCUACAAUACCUCCACUUCUCUGCAACCUGUCCACCAGCACCAUAUUUUUUACAUUUUAAAGUAAUUUUCUUUUUCACAAUAAUUGCACUGCGGCUGUAAAUUCACUGUCAAUUAUUUCCGGUCACUCAAACAAGCUAUUGCUAAAGAGUGGGGGACUCAACUUUUACCCGGUUCACGUGGACGUGGAUCAAAAGCACUUUCGGGCUUUCUCCUUUUCUGUGGUAGUAAAAGUCAAGCCAUGUAAAAGAAGAAAGGGGAGCUAUCUCUUCCUCUUUUAAAAAAUUUAAAGGAAAACUAAUGAAAAUGGUCAGAAAUUUUAAAUUGUAACGAUAAGAACAAAAUAAAUGGUAAAUAAAUAGUAUCAGUAUUGACUUUUUUGUGUAAAAAUAUGAUUUUUCGUUAAAAUAAACAGUACUAAGAUAUUUUCGUUAAAGUUACCAAAUUUUAAUUAUUUGGUUUGGUUGGCAAUUAGCUUAUUAAACACAGAAGGAACCUUCCUAGUCGGCUGAUUACUUAACUUCCAACAGAAGGGAAGGAUACGUGGUUCGGUGCUUACUAGUGGGUGGAGCCUGACGUGGCAUAACAUCGUCCACUAUACAUGGAAAUUGCCGAAUGACGUACAUCAAAUGGAGUCGACAAGACAGGAACGUCUCUAACUAAUUACCUAAUUUUAUGUGAGAAACUUAAAACUUGAAAUUGUAUUAUUGGUCUUGAAUGUUUUAGUGCCAAGUCCUUGUGUUGGCCAUGCUGCUUGGCUAGACAACAGUUAUGUGAAGCAUAGUGAUUUUCGAGCGUCCAUUUUCUUGACAUGAACUCGUUGUUUUUCUAACCCUUGAUGACGCGUUUAUUUAUUAAAAUGAGUGUAUGUAGGAAGCAAAUCAUUUCAAGUCUUAAAUUCCCCCACGUUCAUUAGCACACGAAGAAUAAAAAGAAAGAGUGGGAUCUACUAGGGGUUAGUUUGUUUGAUUGUCAUUCCUAGAUUCACUUAUUUCUUAAUUUGUUACUUCAUUCUUAAUAAGUAAAUAUGUCACGAAUUGAAUAACUUAAAAGGUAAUCGAAGAGUGGAACAAAAAUAUUACUGUAAAAGAAAAAACGAGAGUGCAAAAAUCACUCAAAAUGAAUUAAGCAGGGCUUAUUUUUUCUUGUUAUGCACCCUAUAACACAAUAUCUCACAUUCCCUUUAAACUUAUAUUUUGUCGCUUAACGUCAUAAAAAAACAAUAUUCGCUUCACUUUGAUUAGUUCUGUUUAAUUCAUUGGGAUGGUUUAAUGGGGCCUGCUUCAGAGUUCAGAUUGUUUUGGUUAGCUAUCUAAAUAAAUGGAUAAUUUCGAUGUUGUAAUGAAGUUGUCCCACAAACAGUCAAAUUUUCAAAAGCUCCAAGCAUUUUUUUUUACCAUGUUCUUCCUCUGCAGCAAAACAAAGCAAUUUGAGCCCAGAAAAUACGAAGAGAGAUCUAGAGAGAGACAGAAGAAGGUGUUGUUUUCGGCGGGAGGCCAAGCGUUUUUUUUAACCAUGUUCUUUCAUUUUCGUAUAGUAUGUCAUACAUUUUUGUGAUUAUAUCAGUAUAAGGAUUGAAAACUGCGUUAAAUCAAUAUCCAAUUAGUUUGUGAGUAUCAUUUGACAAACAUAAAGACAAUAUUUGAAGUCCUUUAAAGAACAAGGCAUAAAAAAAAAAACGUAAAAUGAAUUUUAACCCUAUUCACGUUAUAGUAACUUGAUUAAGACACUCAACUCACUUGUGUGCAAGUGUGAGCCAACAUAAUUUUGGCACUCCGGGUGGAAUUUUUUGCGAAUUGCAGAGGAAGUGGGAGCCAGAUUUUUCUAAUUUAUUGCAUGAAGUCAAGGAGGAAUGGACUCCGACAAGAACUGGAGGCAUACAGAAAUGGGUCAUUAAAACAUGAGAAUUAUACAAGCCCGACAGAGUGCUACCCAUCCCUUUGAAUUUGGACCGCACCUAAACACGCCCACUUUGUUGUGUACCCAUCGCACCAUACUAGACUACAUAAAAUCAGUCAAUAUGGUGGUGGCGCAGGGCGGCUGCCGCGGUGGAACAGAAAGAACUAGCCAUCUCAACUCAAAGCACACGCACUAUAAUUCAAACACGAGAGUCAUCGAAACAACAAAAUUUAGCCAGUGUAUCAAAAAUUGAAAGGGGUAAAAAAAAAAAAAAAAAUCAAGGGAAGCUACUAAUGUCUCCUCAAUGCCUACAGCGCCAGCCUACCAUGAAACUCAAGAGUUCCUAAAUUCAAAUUCCAGCGAAAGCCUUCUUGCCAGUGCCGGAAGAUCCAGCAGGAGUCACCUUCAACACGUUGAACCUCUUAGUCUCGGACAGUGGCCCGAACAUUGGUAAGGCACCCAAAAAAAAAUGAACAAAAUGAGCACUAGCGCUUGCCAAAUUACAUACAUAAACAUGUAGUUAAGAACGAGCUAAGGUAAAUCACCUGCACCGGCCGAUGGUAGCAUGAUCUCCUUCCUUCACACCGAAGCAUGGAGGUACGUGUGCCGGGAUGUUGGAAUGUCUCUUUUCAUAUCUUAAGAAAACGGCAAGAAAGAAAAAGAUUUCAGAACAACAGCAAAGAGGAUGGUACUUGUUAAUUCUCCAAAAUGACAACAGAUACAAUAGAAAAUGUAAAAAAUUAAUGCGAACGUUAUACCUUUGAUAUUUCUUGACAUAAUGUAGAUAAUUCCUUCGAACGAUGAUUGUUUUAUUCAUCUUAGCACCAUGGCAAGUGCCAGCCAGGAUGCGGCCCCCAUAGAAACAUUUCCAGUGAAAGGGCAUUUCUUAUCAAUGUAAGUCCCUGUAAGAUGCAAAAGGCACAUGUAGCCAUCGUAUCAAUCAGCAAAUACAAUACUGCACGUACCCAAUACUGAGACAAGAAAUAAACAGUACAACUCGGCUCAAUUUGGAGUAGAUUUACGAACCGAACAUUGGAAAUCCCAAAAAACAUAAGCAUUUCAAGUGAUUGAUUUGAAAUUCGAGUUAUUUCACAGACUAACACUCAUAUAUUACGCCUCUCAUCGGUCCAGAUUGCUAAUGGUUCUCGUUAUCUCCGUUAGGCAAGUGUUAUCUUGAUCCAGCCAUCGGAUUGUGUUUAGGGAAACUGAGGGGUUCAGAUUAGAAGUAGAUCAAGAGACAAAAUUAACCAUGAAAAUGAUGGUGUGUUCAAUUCAAUUCCCUAUAAUCCCAUCCAUUCAAUUAUGUUCAACGGCUCAGAUUUAGUAACUUUUGUCCCUGAUCAAUUGAGCGGCUGCGAUCUUCGUGGAUUUUUUUUUUUCGAGAGACUAACAGAAUCUUGAUCAACAUGGCAAACCACCAUAUAUACUAUAUUUUCUUCUAUUCCUAUUAAAUUCCUCAUUAUUACUCUAUCUCAUCUCAUCUAUUCAAGAGCAACGAUUGAGACCAAAGAGGAGAGAAGCUUCACUGAUAAGGUAAUAAUCAAGUGGUACGAACAGGAACGGAGCUAUAAAUUUUUUCUAAUGGGGGCAAUAAAAAAUAACUAAGAAAAUCUUAUUAUAGUAUGGUUAUAUACAAUAUGAUAUUAAAGAUGAUUUCAAAUGAUGAUGUAUCAUAAUUCCAAUGUUACAAAAUUUCAAUAUAGUAGUGGAAAGUGACAAAGUGAUGAGAAAAAUAUAAGUACAUGAUAGGCAUGAGAGGGUUUUUUUUUCGGUUUGAAUGACAGAACAAGAGCACUAUUGCUCAUAUAAUAUUUGAUAUGGAGUAUAAGUAGAAUGAAUGUAUGUUGGAUAUUAGAUAAAUAUAUUUUCUUCAAAAAUAACCCGUGUAUAUUAUAUAAUUAUAAUCUGCAACUAAACAAACAAAUUACUUUAGUGGGGGCAUCUACCCCCAGUGAGCCUUCAUUGGCUCCGUUCAUGGGUACGAAGAUCCAAAAGUCCUCCAGAUGGUGAAGAAGAGGUUAGUUUGGCCAUCCGUUGAAAGAAAAACAAAGCCGGAUUUUCUAAUAUGCUCCGGUGCAAAGUUUCCAGUGUAUAAGAUACACUAGAUCUUACGAUGCAUGGACACGGACACAGACAUAGGGAUACGUCAAAUUUUUAAAAGACACGAUACGUAAUGGAUACGGAAAUUUAUAUAAUAUAUAUUUAAAAAUACAUUUUAAAUAACAAUAAAAAAAUUAAUUACUCAAAUUUAAUUUGUAUUAUUCAUACUCUCAAAAAGAAAGGAUGGUAGUGGUGUAAAUGUGGGCUAUGUAGUUUUGGGCUUUAGUCUCAUUUAAACCCUAAAAAUGUAAAUAAAUAAAAAAAAAGAAAAAAAAGAAACUGUGGUGUCGUUUUUCUCUACAGAAACAAACAAAUGGCAUGUCGACUUAUAACAAUCAUCUUCUUCGCGAAGCCUCCUCCACUAGAUCGGGUCGUCUUCGUGCGACGCUUUCCUUUGCCAAAUCGCAUUAUCUUCUUCGCGAGGCCUUUUCCCACCAAAUUGGGUCAUCUCCGUCAUGAGGUUUUCUUCCACGAAAUUGCGUCCAAGGCCAUGGUGCAGAUAUCUGUAUCCUAAUAGUCGGAUAACCGUAUCCAUCUGUCAAACGCCGUAUCUGUUGAUUCAAAUACGUAUCCAACACAUAUUCGACCAUAUCAAAUGCGUAUCGUGUCCAUUUGCGUAUCCGACAUGCGAUAUGCGACCGAUGUGCAGUAUAUGUGCAUCGUAGACUAGAUCAUACUAGAAUUUUCAAAAACAGGACAUGCAAAACAUCAUCAGAUAUCCAAUUCAAAUUUAUUUUAAAAAAUAAAACAAUUCGAUCGAGUUGUAAGUUUUCCUUUUUUUUUUUGUGCCUAGGGUUUCAACAGCGAUAGCGAUGAUGGAGAUCGAUAGCAUGAAGGACGUCACUGCUGGUCAGAAGAAAGUCAAGUGGUUCGAGAAUCCAGAGAUCCUCCAAAUACUGAAGACGAUGUUUGAUCCUUGGCUGAACGAAGAUGGCAUGCCUGACGCCACCUCUUUCUUCAGUCGUUGCCCUAGAGGCUUUGGUAACAUUUUUUUCUCUUGUUAAUAUAUACAACACCAACAACCGAGAGUCUUAUCACAAUAAGAGCUGUUCCGUUUUGCGCCAUGUCUUCCGGUAGCUUCUUGUUAAGUGAAGUCCACACACUUCCCCUCUUUCUCCUCUCAGCCAUGGUUUCCUAUACCUUGCUCCACUCCUCGUACGGCUCCGGCGUCUGGUCCAAGAAGGAGUGGGUCAUCCCUGAGAUCGACGACGACGACACCGUUUUGACGUUCAAGGGGAACUCCAACUUCUUCUGGGCGGACCGCGAGCGGCAAGCUCGUGAGGCGGUAGAGAAUUCGAAGUCGGAUUUGCAGAUUGGUGAGUCUGCAAGUCCACAAUGUAAAGCUGCACUUCAAGAAACUACUCGUAUCAUUGAACAAAGUCUUACAACUAAUGGAAAAGCAAUAAGGGCGUUGUUUGGUGCAAGCCAGGUUGGAAUUUCACACUUUGCACCCACCAUUUGUAAAUCAUGAGUCCAGUUCCAACCGGUGGGAAUUUUUUUUUUUUUUUCACUUGUCACUUGCAUAUUGACCAAGUUUGUGUGCAGCUUGAUAUUGAUGGUGACUUCAUAUAUUUUCUGGCAGAUGCUGCUGUUAUAGCGGUAAAAGUUACUUCUUUCUUAGAUUUGUCACUCCGUUUUCAGUUUAUCAAAUUGUUGAUGUUUAUUUGCUUGACACUAUGCAGUUUUAGUAUGGAAAUCCCGAUAGAGUGAGUUGCAAAGGCGAGGGAUAGAGAUGAAAGAGAGGGAGAGUUAGUGAGAGAGAUGAAGAGUUUUGUUUGAGAGACAGACAAAUUUUUGGACGGUGGAAACGGUCCGGGUUGGGGAUCCAUUUCCUCAACAAUUAGGAUUCGCCCCGCCUCACAACUAAUGUGGACUCGCCCUGUUUCAAAUUUAAAAAAAUUGGACCUGCCCCCUACCCACGGGUCCAUGCCCCAUUAAUUUGUCCACCCCUAGUUGUGAUUGUUGUUUGAUAUCAUAUAUUAUUAUUACAAUGUCCAAGGUGUGGGAAUUGUUAUAACCUUAGGGGAGGUUCUGCCGAAAUUUCGAUAUAAUUUGUAGUGUUUGUUUGACUGUUUUUUAUUUUUUUUCAGCAAAGAAAAAUACCCAGGGACCUUGUCUCCAAUUGAAGAUGGCGAAGGUCACCCAAGUGACCAACGGACGUAUCACGAUCAGAUACGAUGAGUGGCAUUGGGCUGCACCAACGCUGGAGCAGCAUAGCGCAUUGGCCCACAACAUUGGUCACAUUGUUUGGACUUAUUGCCCUAUGCUAUAGAAGUCUUGGAAGGCGAUGCCAGGCUAGGUAAGGACAAAUGUGCGCACUUAUUUGUCGAUAAGUAUCCUGCCUUUAUUGCUUUUUCUUGAAAUUAUAUAUUUAUAUUACUUAAUGUAUGUAAUUAAUUUGUUGCAUUGCAAUUGAAUUACAAUUUCGACAACAUCAAAGACAAUAUGUUGUCGUACGUCAACAAGCUCUUCGUUGAACGGUACAAGUGGAAGAGAGGCAUGCACCAAUAUUUUCAAACAUUUGAUGAUCUGCAGGUCGCUCUUAAGGAGGGUUGCCCGAAGGAGUUUGAGGAUUCGGAAAAAAUUGGGUGUGGCUCUGCAGUCAUUUUCAAGUGCCCAGCUAUGUGGUACGUUUUUUAUAUUAAGUCUGUUUGUACCAUACUUGACCAAUCUCGAAACUAUUGAGCACCGGUCAACGUUAUACCGUCAAAGACCCAUAAAAGUUUCCCUCUAACCAGGAGGCCAAUCACAGUGCGACACGUGUCGACAUCAGAAGUCAAUCAUAGCGCGACACGUGUCAACAUCAGAAGCCAAUCACAACACGACACGUGUCAAUGUCAGAAUGAAACUAGAAACUCUCUUCUAUAAAUAGAGAUCAUUCUCUCACAAUAUUCCUUAAUGUCAUUUGUACUAAAUCAUUCACUAGUACUCGCAAAAGGAGAGCUUGAACCUAUGUACUUGUGUAAACCCUUCACAAUUAAUGAGAACUCCUCUACUCCAUGGACGUAGCCAAUUUGGGUGAACCACGCACAUCUUGUGUUUGCUUCCCUGUCUCUAUCCAUUUACAUACUUAUCCACACUAGUGACCGGAGCAAUCUAGCGAAGGUCACAAACUUAACAUUUUCUGUUGUAUCAAAGUCCUUACUGAUUUUGUGCAUCAACAUUUGGCGCCGUCUGUGGGAACGACACUUAUUCCCACUAUUUUCAGCUUUGUUAAGGUGGUUUCCACCAUUCGUACACUCUUUUUUAACCAGGCAUCCCUCUCCAACAUGGGGAGCGAAGGAAGCCACAACACGCAGAAUGACACCCUUCUUGCACUUGGUGUGAGGCAACGAAAGAAGGAAGAAAAUAGGGUUGCUCUUUAAGCUAAAGUCGAUGAGCUAGAAGCUCAGAACAACAAGAUAACAAUGAAGAAUGAGGUCCUCUAGGAGCAGUAUGAGAAACUCUUUGAGACGCUCCACGAAACUAGGCGUACUCAAACACGCGAGCUCGUUACCCCUGUGGACAUCAACCAUCAUCUAGGUGCCCCCCAACACGGAGGGUCACCUUCAUUCGACAUAGGUAUCCCUGAUGAGGAGUGAGCUAAUCAUCAGAACAUUGAUCAACAUGAGACUUCUCUUAACCCAACUGCUUCGACCCGAAGCAGGAGAAGUGGAUGAAGACACCUCCUUACAGAAGGAGUGGAAGGAUCGAAAGCCGUCUUUCGCGACUGUCGAGAUUUCCUAAAGCAACGUCGAGACAAUCUCAUCCAUGUAAGCUCGAAGAUCAAUGACCCAAGGGUUUCUGAAAGACUCGGUCCCAUUCCAUGUCCCAGGCCGGCUACCAAUUUGGGGAAGGGGCAACAAGUCCUAGAGAAACACAAAGGUAUAGGGGACUCAGAGAUAUUCCGACAGACAUACCUUGGAAGUCAGUACGGCAAGUCCAGGGAAAAAUCACAUGCUCUUGAUCAAACCUUCAUACUUCUAAGAGGAGAUGAAGAUUUACGAAAGAAAGCUCCAGUGGUACAUGACUCCACUCAGGACCCUCUUGUCCUACAACUUCUUAAGGAAGUAAACAAUUUGAAAGCCGAACGACAAGCUGAGAUACCUGAUUGGAACCAACCUAGGCCUGACCCUCUUACAAGGAGGACCCUCGACACCCCCAUCCAAGCAAAGACAAAGCAGAAGCUUGCAACUCUAUACUGGAAAGGAGGACCCGAUUUAACACCUUAACUUUUUUGAGUUCACCAUGGCAUACCGGAUGCACAUCGAUGAAGAGCGAUGUCUUCUCUUCCCCUCUAUCCUCUUUGGUGGAGCUCUAAACUGGUAUUGCCGUCUUCUACCUGAGACGGUAAACUCAUUUGAGGAAUUAAGGAAACUGUUUGUUUCUCAACACAUUUUCCAAAUCGAUCGCUUGCACUCUGCGGAUGACUUAUACCCUAUUCGCCAGAAGCCAAACGAGUCAUUACGUAUGUAUGCUGGCCACUUCAGCCAUGAGUAUUCCCGUUGUGCCGAGGCAGACGACAAGACUGCCCUCAAAGCCUUUACGGCAAGCUUACGUGACUGUUUCUUUAAGUACAUGAUCAAUGCCAACACUUGGAAGACUUACUCUGAGGUGAUGGCCCAUGCUUAUAACCAUGCCUCCGUCGAGGCAAUGACAUAUCAAGGGAAACCCCCCACAGCCACCCCUUAUCAGCAAGUAGGGAGUGGAAGCCAGAUCCAACCAAAUGAGAAGACCUCAACCUUCCAAACGGCAGCGGUGCCUCCUCCUACCUUACUUAAUACUUCACCAAGUCAACAGACAUAUCAAUCUCAGGGUAAAAUGAAAGAUUUACAUCCUCACCAGUCUCAUUUUAGUAAAAGGAGUAAAGGACACUAUCGCGAUAACCAAGGGUAUCGCCAAGAUAAUGCCCGCCCCCAGGCAGUCAACACAGUGGGCCAAGCACGUGUCAGGACAGGCCUACCCCGAGGUAUGAGACAUACACACAUUUGAAUGCCACAUGUGUGGCCAUUUACCCCAGCAUAGCACACCUGAUACCGAAGCCAAUGCCAAGGCAGUCGGGUUACAAGCCCACGAAGAACACGGGCACAUUUUCCUGCUACCACGAGCAUAACGGCCAUGACGGUGAGAAAUGUAUCACCCUUUGUGAUCAUAUUGAAGCUUUGACACGUGAAGGAAAAAUUGAUCAAUUCCUCUUUCACCCUCCAAAGGGUAACCAUAACUAAUGCCAGGUGAAUGUGAUAUAUUCCAUAAGUGGUGGCACACCCAUAUCUAAAUCUUCCAACAGGGCUAUGAAAAAUAGUGAACGAGCUUUAAGGUCUGGCCACCAAGUGUUUCACGUGGAAGACAUCAGGGAAGGUAAAUAUCAAAUGCCUAACUGGGAUCUAAUAUGUUUCUACCCUGAGGAAGAAAGAGGUAUCAUUUACCCUUACAACGACCCACUAAUCGUGGAAGCUCACAUAGCCAACUUUGAAGUACGACAAAUCCUGGUAGACACGGGGGCUUCGGUCAAUAUCAUGUUUGCUGAAGCUUUCAGGGCACUUAAUGUAGCUGAACACUUGCUCAAUCGCUCGAUUUCCCCUCUGAUAAGCUUCUCCGAUGAUAUCGUGCAACCUUUGGGAAGCAUACACUUACCUUUCACCAUUGGUACAGGCCCUUACACAGCUACCAUUACCACUAACUUCCUGGUGGUUGAUUGCCCAACGGCAUACAAUGUCAUCUUGGGACGCACAUGCAUUAAUGAUCUCAAGGCCAUGGUAUCCACACAGUGGCGAAGCCACGUGAGGGCGAGGAGUGGCGUCCGCCACUCCCCUCGCCGGAAAACACAGCCCUAGCGCAGGUUCAGCCCCUCCCCUCCCGGAAAACCCAACCCCUCCAUGGCUGUUCUACCUCCGCCACUGUGGUGCACCACGGACCUGUCCUCGGUUCGAGUUCUUGCUUGGGAGGGUCCUAGGGUGUGCGUGUGUAUAAGAUUGUGGGUAUGGAUGUUGCUCACGGGUAGAGAGGGAGAGGGUGAGGGCGACUUGAGGGAGAGAGAGCUCGGGGAGUUUCGAAGAGCAGAAGAGGGAGUGAGGGGAGAAAGGAAGAGAGAUGAGAGAGGGAGUACGGGAGAAAGGGACAGAUAUCAGGGGUGAGCCCUUGGGCUCACCAAUUAAGACCCCAAAACUAUUUUUAAUUAGGAGUGGGGUGUGACAUCACGUAUAGGCUUGUUUGUAUUAAUACAUUAUGAACGACAACAGUUGUAACUUGUUUGUAUUAAUAUAUUACGAACGACACUUAAACUUUUUACUAUAUAAAAGGAUUUUGUUGUUUACAUAUUUUUUGGAAUUUUGUACGCUUUUAAAUUUCGCCCCUCCCCUUGAAAAUUUCUAGCUUCGCCACUGUAUCCACACAUAUGUUGUUGAUGAAAUUUCCAACCCCUUAUGGCAAUGGUUACAUUAGAGGAGAUCAACUUAGUGCACGAUCAUAUUACAACACUUCGGUCAAGCAACAACACCUGCUUGUGCCCAAGGAAACCCUUUCUAUACAUGACCAAGUCAUAAAGACCAGCCUAGAAGAAGCCAACUUGGAUCUUCACGGUGGCAACAGUUAACCCGACAAUCCUCGAGAUGACUAUUUCACCCAGCAAGCACAACCCGCUGAAGAGUUUUAGAAGGUCUCUAUCUCAAAAGAUUAUCCAGAUCGCAUGGUGAAGAUUGGCACCACCUUGUCACCACCCAUUCGGUUGGCAUUUAUCUCUUUUUUGCAAGAGAACACUGAGGUAUUCGCCUGGUCAUACGAGGACAUGUCAGGCAUCUCUCCCGAUAUCAUUUGUCAUCGCUAAAGUAUUGACCCCAAGACCAAGGCAGUGAGACAGAAGCGAAUAUCUUAUGACGCUGAACGGUACAAGGCAAUGAAGGCAUAAGUUGAAAAACUCAAAGGCAUAGGCUUCAUCCGCGAAGUCAAUUAUCCAACGUGGGUAGCAAAUGUUGUCCUUGUUAAGAAGAAUCCGACCAAGGAAAGUCUCCUGCUCCAAAAGGUCUUGUGGAGAAUGUGUGUCGAUUACACCGACCUAAACAAAGGAUGCCUGAAGGAUAACUUUCCUCUUCCUCUAAUAGACAGACUUAUAGACUCUACGACAGGGUGUGAACUUCUGAGCUUCAUGGAUACUUACUCAGGAUACAACCAAAUCCUCAUGAACCCUCCGGACCAAGAACACAUAGCCUUCACUACUGACAGGGGACUUUAUUGUUAUAAAGUCAUGCCCUUCGGCCUAAAGAAUGCAGAAGCAACUUAUCAGAGAUUGGUCAAUUCAAUGUUCGCCGAACAGAUUAGGAAGAGCAUGGAAGUUUACGUUGAUGAUAUGCUAGUCAAGAGUAAACAUGCUGACCAACACAUCACCAACCUAUCUGAAACUUUCACCAUUCUGAAGAGGCAUCGAAUGAGGUUGAACCCCAAUAAAUGUGCCUUCGGCGUAGGCUCUGGCAAAUUCUUAGGCUUCAUGAUAAGCCAACGAGGCAUUGAGGCUAAUCCCAAGAAGAUCAAAGCAAUCCUCGACAUGAAGGAACCGGUAACUUCAAAAGACAUCCAAAUCCUUAUUGGCAAUGUGGCAGCCUUAACUAGGUUCAUCUCUAAGGCCACAGAUAGAUGUGUUCCUUUCUUCAAAUCACUUAAAUGAAGUAAGAAGUAAAUUACAUAGAUUGAUGAAUGUGCUGAGGCAUUCAAGAACCUCAAAGACUACAUGAGUAAAACCCAUCUACUCUCUAAACCUGAGGUUGGUGACACUUUCAUUAUCUAUCUGUCGGUAUCGACUUCAGCAGUAAGUUAUGUUCUCAUUCAAAAUGAUGGUAAUGUUGAACGAUCUGUCUACUACGCCAGCAAUGCCUUACAAGAUGCAGAGACACGAUACUCCAACAUUGAGAAAUUGGCUCUAGCAUUGGUCAUGUCUGCUCGAAAACUUUGCCAUUACUUCCAAGCACACUCCAUCAUCGUGCUUACCAAUCAUCAUCUUCGAUAGAUACUUCAAAAUCCUGACACUUCUGGGCAAAUGAUCAAAUGGGCGAUAGCAUUGGGUGAGUUUGACAUCUCCUACCAACCAAAGCCAGCUGAGAAGGGCCAAGCAGUGGCAGACUUCAUCGCUGACUUCACAUAUCCUAUUGACAUUGUUUCUACACCUAAAUAAGUGGUUUCAUUACCCUCGAAAGCUCAGAAAAUAUAACCAACAGCCCCAGCAUGGAGUCUAUAUGUUGAUGGCUCGUCCAACCAAUAGGGUUGUGGAACAGGACUAGUCCUUAUGACCUCUGACAAAGUGGCGAUGGAGUAUGCUCUUCGUUUCAAAUUCAAGGCGUCGAACAAUGAGGCCGAAUAUGAAGCCCUCCUAGCAGGCUUACGUUUGGCCAAACACCUUGGGGUUAAACGAAUUGAUAUCUUCAGUGACUCCCAAUUGGUGGUUAACCAGGUCACCAAUAACUUUAACGCUAAGGAUAGCUCAAUGGCAGCAUAUCUGGCACAAACACAAUUGUUGCUGAAACACUUCCACUACUAGAUCACCCAAAUUCCUCGAGCGGCAAACAGUCAUGCAGAUGCUUUGGCUCGCCUCGCCUCAGCGGUGGAAGACAAGAUUGGGAGAAAAAUUUAGGUCGAAUUGUUGGCAAUACCAAGCACCAUGGUUGCGGAAGUGUGUAACUUACAACAUGGGGAUAGUUGGAUUACCCCGAUUUAGGUCGUAUUUGUAUACCCUGCACUGAAGCUUUAUAGGUGAAGCUUUGAAGCUAGAGCUCCGUAAAUGAAGUUUUUGAAGCUGAUUGACAUGAGUGAUGCUCAUGAAUGUUUAUGUUGAUUGACAUGAGUGAUGCUCAUGAAUGUUGUCAUGAGUGAUGCUCAUGAAUGUUAACAUGAGUGAUGCUCAUGAAUGUUGACAUGAAUGAUGGUCAUGAAUGUUUAUGUAUGAUUGUCAUGAGUGAUGGUCAUGAAUGUUUAUGUAUGAUUGUCAUGAGUGAUGGUCAUGAAUGUUUAUGUAUGAAUGACAUGAGUAAUGCUCAUGUAUAAUUUGGAGUACUGGGCGUACUUUUGAUCACCUAGUUGGUGGCAUGAAGAAGAGUACGGGUUGUACAUUUCAUCACCUGGUUGGUGGCAUGAAUGGCUAGUUGCCAAAUGAUAUUAGAGUACGGGUUGUACAUUUUAUCACCUGGUUGGUGGCAUGAAUGGCUAGUUGCCAAAUGGUAUUAGAGUACGAGUUGUACAUUUCAUCACCUGGUUGGUGGUAAUAGCGGCAGGUUGCCGAAUAAUUUUUGGAGUACUGGGUGUACUUUUGAUCACCUGGUUGGUGGUAAUAGCGGCAGGUUGCCGAAUAAUUUUGGAGUACUGGGCGUACUUUUGAUCGCCUAAUUGAAGCUAUUUUGGGCUUAUGGGCCUUCGCCCUCUACACAACAUUCCGGCCCAUUUAUUUUGGGCUUUGCCGUAUUUUUUUUUACCUUCUGAUGGGGUUUAUACAGAUGUCUCCGAAAGAUAGGAAAAAUAAAUUACAUUAUACAAAAACAAAAAAAGCAAAUCACAUCAUUCCGGUGGGGUGUUUAUUCUUUGCUUUUGCUUUUGCUUUCUCUUUUGUUUUCUGUUUUCUUUUCUGCUUUGCUUUUGUUUCUGUUUCCCACUGCUUUGGAUAUGUCGCUUGAUGACGUGAUUAAGGGCAAUAAUCCUUUCUCUUUACUUUCCUUUCUUUUGGCGGAUGGUAGACAAGAGGAAUAAUAGUAGGAUUGUUAUUGAGAAAACUUAUCUUCUUCCUAUUUUCCACUAAUGCUCGUGGUAUUCGCAGGAGGUGGGAUCUCUGUGUCAGCACCAACUUGUUCUGUUAUAGUUGUAAAUGUGCCUUCCUUUUCCUGCCUGUACAAUCUGCACCAUAUCCGAGACGUUCUCCACAGUUGAGAAAUCUGAGGGUGGAGAACCGAUGGCCGCGAUGGCAUCCACUACGGCAGUCGUCUGAUCGAGAAGCUUCUGGCUUCCUCCUUGGACCGGCCAAAUGACUGGGAGGGAUGUGUUUUCCACUGAGCAGAUCCAAAAGGACAGUCCUAAAGCUGAAUGUAACAGUUUUUGGAGUCACCCUUCCAUUUCUUAGAUAUUCAGAGGUGUGUAUGCAAGAUUGGUGCUGUAAGUUUUUCCAUCCUUGCUGUUGUUCAUCAAUCCAAAACACGAAGGCUGAGGAUCGUCAUUCUCAUCUGCCACAUUUGAAAAAGCUCUAUGUAAUCCCAUCCACACUGGGAUUGUUGCAAGUGUCGGCAAACAUCAUGCCAAACGGUUUAUGUCGACUAACUUCUACAAUCAAGCAGUUUCGAGUUGAAUUCUCUCCUGGUCCCCCACGUAGCGUUCUUGCACAGUUUUCACUUGGGGUUGCAAGGACCGCAUAGCCAUGGCGGACUCCACCUGUUUCUUGCUCAACGGGAAGGUAGCAUUUUUAACAAGAACGGUCAACAAUAUGAUGGCGAAGCCAUAGGAGUACGGAACAUGCACAGCAGAAAACCCAUCUUUCAAAAACUUGAGAAUGCUCUCGAGGUAACUGGUAAUCCCAGAAAGCCAAUCGCUGCUCUGUUUCGAAGUAGUCAAAUUCUCCAACGUUGACAACACAGCCGCUUCGGCCAUCGUGUAAAGCAAGCUCUCGGCUUUACCGAACAACUUCAUCAGCAAAGCUCUUACGUAUUCUGGUUCGGGAAUCAGACCGGGGCUGGGGUUAAGCCGGGCCACUAUGAGCAAGCCGUGGAGGAGGGACUUUGAGUGGGGGAAACCGUAGUUGUGAUUGGGAUUUUGAAAGUUUGGAAACCCUAAAAGGUUGAGCUGCUGCUGCAAAGAGGAGGGGAGUGUGGGCGAUUCAUGCGAAUGGGGGAUGAAUCGGAAAAAUGUUUAUGUACAAAACCUGAGAGAGAGUCGGGCGUCUCUGGGUUUUACAGAUCCACGGUGAAGUGUGGUGAGGUCUCACGGUGGAGAGAUGAAAAAAUGAAAGAGAACCGACAUAGAUUUUCGUGUCGUUUCCCACAGACGACGCCAAAUGUUGAUGCACAAAAUCGAAGGUCUUGAAACAACAUAAAUUCGACCGUGAAUCUGCAUGAAAUGUAAAUAACACAAGAUGUAUCGUGGUUCACCCCAAGGUUUGGGCUACGUCUACACUAAUUAUAUUUCUGAGAGAGAGAGAGCUCUGAGAGUGAGAGCUUUGAGAGGACGUGAGAGAGCUUAGGAAUUGGCUUCCUCUAAUUGUGAGGGUGAUGAGUCAUUUUAUAGAAUAAGGGCUCCUCACUUAUUACAUAUUUGCCCAUUCCUUUAUUACAUAAUUACAUUUAAGUCUCCCGAGUAUUUGUACGAGAUCUAAAUACGGAUGUCCUAAAUAUGGUAUAAACAAGCUUCAUCAAAGGAGUUCAACCACAAUUCUCAAAAGCUUCACACACUCUUGAUCAAGACAGUGUGAAGCAAAACCAAUUUAUGAUGCCAACAAGAGCUUCAUCAAUGGUGGGCAACCAGCUUCUCAAAAAGCUUCACACACUCUUGAUCAAGAUAAUGUGAAACAAAACCAAUUUAUUGUGCCAACAAGAGCUUCAUCAAUGGAGGGCAACCACAAUUCUAAAAAAGCUUCACACACUCUUGAUCAAGACAGUGUGAAGCAAAACCAAUUUAUGGUGCCAACACGAGCUUCAUCAAUGGAGGGUAACCACAAUUCUCAAAAAGCUUCACACACUCUUGAUCAAGACAGUGUGAAGUAAAACCAAUUUAUGGUGCCAACAAGAGCUUCAUCAAUGGAGGGUAACCACAAUUCUCAAAAACUUUACACACUCUUGAUCAAGACAGUGUGAAGCAAAACCAAUUUAUGGUGUCAACAAGAGCUUCAUCAAUGGAGGGCAACCACAAUUCUCAAAAGCUUCACAUGUUCUUGAUCAAGACAGUGUGAAGCAAAACUAAUUUAUGGUGCCAACAAGAGCUUCAUCAAAUGAGGGCAACCACAAUUCUCAAAAGCUUCACACACUCUUGAUCAAGACAGUAUGAAGCAAAACCAAUUUAUGGUGCCAACAAGAGCUUCAUCAAUAGAGGGCAACCACAAUUCUCAAAAGCUUCACACACUCUUGAUCAAGACAGUGUGAAGCAAAACCAAUUUAUGGUGCCAACAAAAGCCUCAUCAAAGGAGUUCAACCACAAUUCUCAAAAGCUUCACACAGUCUUGAUCAAGACAGUGUGAAGCAAAACCAAUUUAUGGUGCCAACAAAAGUUUCAUCAAUGAAGGGCAAUUACAACUCGUAGAAAGCUUCACACACUCUUGAUCAAGACUGUUCGAAGCAUAUUUAAUUUAUAUGGUUCAUCCAAACCUUCGACUACUACAAAGUGUGGCUUGCAUCACAAUCUCUUGCUCAACAAUGUGGAAGCAAAAUUUGUAUAUGUUGUCUCUCCCACAUUUUCAAAUUUCUAAUUUUCCAAAAAAAAAAAGGGAAAUUGGGAAAUUCAACAAAUUUCCAGUUUUCCCCAAAAAAAAAAAAAGAAAGGAAAUUGGGAAAUUCAACAAAGCUUCACCACAAAAACUUCACUAACAAAAGCUUCAUCAAUGGAGGACAACUACAAAUUCUCAAAAGCUUUACACUAUCUUGAUCAAGAUAGUGUGAAGCAAAAUCAAUUCAUGGUACUCAACAAAAGCUUCAACUCCAAAGCUUUACCUACAAAGCUUCAACUCCAUAGCUUCACUUACAAAAGCUUCACCCAUAAAAGCUUCACCCACCACAAAAGCUUCACCUACAAAAGCUUCACCCAUAAAAGCUUCACCAACAAAAGGUUCACCCACAAAAGCUUCUCCCACCACAAAAGCUUCCCCCACAAAAGCUUCCCCCACCACAAAAGCUUCACCCACAAAAGCUUCACCCAUAAAAGUUUCACCAACAAAAGCUUCACCCACCAUAAAAGCUUCACCCACAAAAUCUUCACCUACAAAAGCUUCACCUACAAAGCUUCAACACAAAAGCUUCAUAUACAAAAGUUUCACACUAUCUUGAUCAAGGUAGUGUGAAGCAAAAUCAAUUCAUGGUACCCAACAAAGCUUCAACCUCAAAGCUUCACCUAUAAAGCUUAAAAUAUAUAUAUAUAUUUUUUUUUUUGGAAAUUCGAAAUUUUUAAAAUUCAAAAAUUCAAAAAUUCAAAAAUUCAAAAAUUCAAAAAUUAAAAAAAAAAUUGCCUAGGCCUCUUCUUCUUUAGGCAUAACAAUUUUAAAACAAAUAUAUAUGAAGGAGGAGUUUUGGGCUACCACUUAGAAAGAAAAAUGGUGAAAUUUUGUUACUUUGGAAACUUGGCUACUAGCAAGACACCUCAUUCGUCAACUCUCUCGACCGAAAACUUGGGGGAUUCCUACCAUAUGCUACUGCACCUUGAUACUCGGAAGACUCACGACCACUCAGUGACUUGGAUUUUUUCAAGUCUCCAACCGAGAAGUUUUCCUCACUCGGGAAAUUAAGGGAGCACUACCUCAACCUACAUGUUUCACUCACAAAGCUUCAACAUACAAGCUUUAACAAAAGGAAAAAUUCAAAGAACUUAAUGAAGAAGGCCUCUUGGUGUAUUUAACACAAUACGUUGAAAUGAAGCAAAGCUUGUUUAUUGAUAUCUCCGAUAAGUUACAAACAUGUACAUAUACAUGAAUCAAAACAAACAAACAAGAGGGAGCCUUUACAAAGGUUGCUCAGGAGAAAUCUCAGCAGUCGGCAGAUCCCCAGAAAAAAGAGGCACCAGAAGGUGAUUAUUCGGAGCCUCAGUACUAGGCAGAACCCCAGAAAGAGGAGGCACCGAAGGUUGAUCAUUUGGAGCUUCAUUACGCAGUACAGCCCCAGAAGAUGAAGGCAAUAAAUACAUUUGGAACAAACCCACAAACCUCUGAUGAUCAAGUAAAAUCUGACCAUCAGAUUCCUGUAGCUGGUCGAGCUUCAUCUUCAUGUUUGUAGCAUAGUCAUGUGCGAGCCUAUGCAACUGUUUAUUCCCAUGUUGAGCCAUCUGAUCUCCUGUUUGAGACUUAUCACUUCAGCCGCCAAUGAUUCAACUUGGCGUGUUCGAGAAAAUAGGCGUUAGGCCAUAUUAGACACAGAACUUGCACACUGAAUACUGAGAGCCAAAGAAUCCUUAACAGCCAACUCAUCCGACCGUUUGGAAAGUAGUCUGUUAUCUUUGGGAGUGAGAAGGUUCUUGGCCACCACCGCAGCGGUCAUAUCAUUAUUCAUCACAGAGUCCCCAACGGUAAGAUGACUAAUAGGGGAUAAGAAGGAUGGGCACCAUAUGUUGUCUUGAGAAGGCAUGGCUGCCUUUUCACCAAAGUUCAAGUCAAAACGACGGUCGGAUGAGCCAAACAUUCUCAGAAAUGAUGAAGGAGAAAUGAGGUGCAAUAAAUCUCUGAAGUAACGGGAAAAUUCUUACAAGCAAUAACUCUCUGAAUGUACUUCUUGCACACAAUUGGUGCCCUUAUAAAACAAAGGGCAACAUGGCCGUUGGUUCAAAAAUCGAAGAGGCACCACUUUCCGGAUUCCGAAGAGGCACCAAUCCACACGCAACAUCAGCUUCUCGGGUACCACAUAUAACUUUGCCAAAGAUCUCUGACAAAGUUUAGACACAUAAUUUUUGAAGGUCCAGCUACCCUACUAUUACCCAUAAAGGUAAAGGAAUAGCACCACUGCUUGAUAACUAGAAAGUUCUUAUGUAUGUCAACCUCUGUGCUCCAUGGCAAGGCAGACUGGCAAAAAUGCCCAACCUUUACUCACAUCGAGAAAACACUCCCAACAAGAUUGCUUGCUCAAAAAUCGAAGAGGCACCGCUAUCUGAAUCUCGAGAGCUAGACUCCCAAUAGGAUUACGUGCUCAAAAAUUGAAGAGGCACCGCCUUCCGAAUCUCGAGAGCCAGACUCCCAACAUGAUUACUUUCUCAAAAAUCGAAUAAACACUGCUCUCUGAAUCUCAAGAGUCAGACUCCCAACGGGAUUGCUUUCUCAAAAAUCGAAGAAGCACCGUUCUCUAAAUCUCGAGAGCCAGAUCCCCGACAGAAUUGCUUGUUCGAAAACUGAAGAGGCACCGCUCUCCGAACUUCGAGAGCCAGAUUUCCUUGGAUAAAGCUUGUCUGCAAUCUGCACACGCAACAUCAGCUUUCCAGAUACCACAUACCACUUUUUCAAAGUGCUCUGACAAAGUUAAAACACGUGAAGCUUGCAGCUCCCACUAUAUUGCUAUGACCAAGAAGGGUAAAGGAAUAACACUACUACUUGUUGUUAGGGAGACUCCUAUAUAUGUCGACCUCCAUCCUCCACAGCCAGGCGACCUGCAAAUAAAUAAAAAAUGCUCAACUUUUCUUCACAUCCGAGAGAGCACUCUCAGCAGAGUCUUUCGAAAUACUCAGCUUAUUUUCCCCCUGAUAAUACCUCUGCAAACAAGCCACACCAGAGCAAGAGUAUCUCAUAUCAUCAGGGUUAAAAGCAAGAGUAUCCCAUAUCAUGCUUUUUCCUUGUCUUUUCCUUUGGCCUUGUUCUUACCUGCAAGACAAGGAGAAAGAGAGCAAUCAGUCAGCACUUGGAAUCAAGCUUCCAUUCAGGAACUGACUGCCUAGAACCCCUUGCCUGAUUACUUACCUGACAUUGCUCUCGAGUACUCAUCUUCAACAUCUUAUGCUUCCAAAGGAGAUACCACAUCUGCCUGAGGAACAGAUAGGGCAAGUGAGAAAGAUACAAGGAAGCAUGUGGAGACAAGCGUAACAGAACAUGUGCCGAUACAUCCACUACUUUGUCAACAACAAAAGUAUCUCAUAUCAUCAGGGUCAAACGUACUCUAGAUUUGAUGGACUUGUUUUGACCCUCAAAUUCUUGAGUCGGCCUUAUACUUUGGAGGAAACCAGAAAACCCUCAAGCCCAGUUCAAGAAUAAGCCUAUGGAAAGUUACUUCUUCAAAAGCAAAAGUAUAUCAUAUCAUCUCUUCUCCAUUUGCUUCUCAUUAUCUUUGUUGCUGUUUAUGACACAAGGAGAAGGAGAAUAAUCAACCGGAAGCCGAAGUCGAACCUCCGAUCCAGGUUGCUUACUUGGAAGUCUGAUUGCUUACCUUGUCUAUUACCUCCUUCAACAAAUCUCCUAGCUCAGCGACUUGGGGGACUCUUACUAUAGGGUUUGUAUUGCACUUGACCAAGCCUGAAACUACAAGUAAGCUUCAAGUGAAAUUGAUACAUUACCUUGUGCAUCUUCAUCGGUUAAAGAUACCACUCCUGGAUGGAGGAAAAGUACUUCCAAAGAAGAUGCCACAUCUACAUAUGAGACAGAUAAGGCAAGUGAAAAUGAUACCACACUUCGGUACUUAGAAGUUUAGUGAUUACUCAAUGGCUUGGAUCUUACAAGUCCCCAACCAAGGAGCUUCCCUCACUCAGGAACCUAGGGGAACACUGUUUGUACAAUACUUGACCAAUCCCGAAACUACUGAGCACCAGUCAACGUUAUACCGUCAAAGACGCAAAAGAGUUUCCCUCCAACUAAGAGGCCAAUCACAGCGCGACAGGUGUCGACAUCAGAAGCCAAUCAUAGCACGACAUGUGUCAACAUCAGAAGACAAUCACAACACGACACGUGUCAAUGUCAGAAUGAAACUAGAAACUCUCUUCUAUAAAUAGAGAUCAUUCUCUCACAAUAUUCCCUAAUGUCAUUUGUACUAAAUCAUUCACUAGUACUCGCAAAAGGAGAGCUUGAACCUAUGUACUUGUGUAAACCCUUCACAAUUAAUGAGAACUCCUCUACUCCGUGGACGUAGCCAAUCUGGGUGAACCAUGUACAUCUUGUGUUUGCUUUCCUGUCUCUAUCCAUUUACAUACUUAUCCACACUAGUGACCGGAGCAAUCUAACGAAGGUCACAAACUUAACACUUUCUGUUGUACCAAACUCCUCACUGAUUUUGUGCAUCAACAAAGUCUAAAAGUAUUAUAUGUUUCUUACUAAUGUUUAUUGAUUUUUUUAUAUUUCAUUUAAAUUAGAACUAAUAUACAUUUAUUUUUUGUACAAUAGAAGAAGGCGAAAGCCAACAAGAUCAAUCAGGAGAAGAAGACUUUUUUCUACCAUUCGGGUUUGAGGCCCUUCUUAUACAGGAUGGAGGCGCAGCGACAUGUAAUAAUAAAGCUUUUCAUAUUAAAUUUUUAAUAUUUUAGUAAUAUUAAUUUUUCUUUUGUACUAACAUUUUUCUUAUCUUAUUCUAUUCAGACGGGUUCAAAAUUCCCGGAGAUCAAUGUCUUUGCAGAGUUUAUGUUCGACCCAUGGAUGAGUUGGCCAAGCCCCUUCAUGUAAGUAUUUUUCAAUUGUAAUUACUAUCUUACGCAUUCAAGUAUCAUGGUUAUUAUUUGAAUGUUAUUAUUAAUAUUUCAUAUUAUAUUACACAUGCGACGAUGAUGGAGAAGAUGCAGUUGGUUCUUCAGGGGUCCGCCUCCCAGCUUCCUCCUGAGACUCCUCUUAAGUUUGUGGAUCCCCCAAGGAUGUGGGGUUUCAGAUCCUUACAGACACCUUAGAUCAGACUCUUGGGUGGAGGUUAAGGACGUAUUGUAGGGGGAUGCGGAAUGCUUGGCGGUGGGAACUUUGAGCCUUUUCAUCCUCCCAAUCGAAGGAUGAGGUGACAUAUUUGACAACAAAGGUGGCCGACCUUAGGACUGGGUUCGCCUCAUAUAAGAGCCAGAUGUUACUAAUUUUAUAGGCCCUCAGUCAGUUAUACAUUCGUCUCUUAGAUAUUUGUCCCCUUUCGAUGUUAGAUCCCACAUCGCCUAGGGGAAUGGAUCCUCUAUGCCUUAUAUGUAUAUUCUCAUCUCUACCUAGUACGAGGCCUUUUGGGAGCUCAUUGGCUUCGGGUUCCUUAGGAACUCCGAAGUUAAGCGAGUUCGCGAGAAAGCAAUCCUAUAAUGGGUGACCCACUGAGAAGUUCUCGUGUAAGUUCCCAGAAACAAAGCCGUGAGGGUGUGAUCGGGGCCCAAAGCGGACAAUAUCGUACUAUGGUGGAGUUGAGCCCAUGAUGUGGUGGGGGCCCGGGCCGGGAUGUGACAAUUUGGUAUCAGAGCUAAUCCUUGGCCGGAUGUGUGCCGACGAGGACGUUGGGCCCCUAAGGGGAUGGAUUGUUAGAUCCCACAUCGCCCAGGGGAUUAGAUCAUCUAUGCCUUAUAUGUAUAUUCUCAUCUCUACCUAGUACGAGGCUUUUUGGGAGCUCACUGGCUUUGGGUUCCGUAGGAACUCUGAAGUUAAGCGAAUUCGCGCGAGAGCAAUCCUAUGAUGGGUGACCCACUGGGAAGUUCUCGUGUGAGUUCCUAGAAACAAAACAGUGAGGGCAUGGUCGAGGCCCAAAACGGACAAUAUCGUGCUAUGGUGGAGUCGAGCCCGGGAUGUGGUGAGGGCCCGGGCAAGGAUGUGACAGUCGACGUGCUAGCCCCUCCAACCUGAAUAUGCCCAGAACUAUGCCCCUUCAACCUCUGAGCCUGUCCUCAACCCCGACCCCUUCUUGCCCCAAUCUUUUCAUCUGCAUGCGAACGACGACCCUGUAGAUUAUUCCACAUUUUUUUAAGUUGUUUAGUCCCUUACUUUUACAAUUUUUUCCUUGUACAUACAUUUUAUUUUUAUUUUAAAUAAAUUAUUUUUCUUGUCAUACAUUUUUUAUUUUAUUAUAAAAUUAAACCUAGAACAAAAAAUAUAAUUUUUAACAAAAUAUAAUAUAUUUUUUUUUGCGAAUAAUAGCUUCGUUGUGCAUACUUUUUUGCGAUAACUCACUUUCAUCGCACAAAGUUUUUAGACACGAAUAUUAGUUGUCCUAGGUUUGUAUCUUGGCAUUUUGUGCGACGAACAUAUUCGUUCCUAAAAAUUUGGUGCGACGAAUGAGAAACCGUCACGCAUUAUUUUCCACGACCAAUGCUUUUAUUCAUCGCGCAAAGUCUUUCUUCACGAUCUUUGCGGGACCGAUUCUGCGCAACAAAGUUUUCAUCACACAUACGUUUGUGCGACGCUAUUAACCUUUGCACGACCAAUUUUUGUUCAUCGUGCUAAAUGUUAAACGUGGUAGUGAUUGAUUUUUACUUUAAUUUGAGUCUCAACUCAAUUCAAGUUCAACAAACUUUUAACAAAAUAGGGCUGCAAAUUUUAACUAGAAUGAACGAGCCAAGGAGAUCUCAAAACCCUAAAUUACGAGUGGGUGGGAAGAAUAUUUAAGUGCUUGUAAUUGUUGCUCCAUAUGAUUCUACAGUAAGCAAGGCUCCUAUCACAUGUGUGAUUAGUUUACUUUUGCUUUCAAUUUUUUAUUACAACACUAGGCCAAUCUUAUUAUUGGCUAUUUUUUAAUAACAUUCAAACCUUUGGAUAACAGCUAUAACUCUUGGAUAAGUUCCAAGAGACACAACUCUACAUUGCAGAAAGUGCAUUACGUUUAACACUUACAUCAUUGACAUGAUCCUAGUUGAUCUAAGGUUGUUACAUAUAUCCUCCUUAGGUUCCUGAGUAAUCCUCUCUAGUUCCUGCUGAAAUCUCUCCAUGGCCGAGGAUGGCAAACACAUUGGUACCAAUAUUCCAUCCUCAGUGUUGUUUUUGUGUUGAACGUAGAAGCUAAUCAAAUCCAAGGCCUUGGCGGGUCCAGCAAAUACCGGCUGUCCCCAUCCAAAAUUGACAUCUCCAAAACCUGCACGCGUAUUAUCAGAAACUAUUAAAUAACUUCCUGUCGAUGAAUAUUGAGGUCGCCCUCUUAGUACCAUAAGAUCUGCCACUGAUCUUAAGUAUUCUUCAUUCAUGGUAGCUUUAGCCUUCUUCACCAACUCCAAAGCAUAUCCCAGUGGAUUUUUGCAUAGAGGUUCAGCCUUUGAAACUGCAGUUGGAAAUGCAAAUGCAUUGCCAUAGUAUCCCAAGGGAAGACGUACAUUGUGGUGCUUUCCCCGUGCAUUGACAAUGCAUGAAACUCGAACAGCCUGUUUUGGAUUAAUUUUAAGUGCAAGAGUGCGACAUUUCCACAAACAAGCUGUGAUCAAGUCAAAUGUGGAGCAAGUGGAAAUUACGUGGGGUGGAAUAUGUUUUUGAAGGACUCUCAUCUCCUUGGCACCAAAGUAGAAAGAUCGUUGAACCAUGUUUGACUGGUUACUGGAUGCGUAUGAGCCAUUAGAAUGAUCAAUCACGUCUUCAUAUUCAUGAUGAACACAUGUAAUUCUUGGUGGAUCUCGAGCGAACAAGAGCUCUCUCUCCCACACUGGUAGAAUAGAUGGUGCAUGUGCGCCUCUUGCCAUCUCCGCAAUGGCGGUCAGGAACAGGAGCAAUCCAGGUGCAUCACACAUUGUGUGGUUUGCGCGCAAUGCAAGUAUGAAACCUCCGCAUGUAAGACAGGUCACCUGCAUAUUGCAAAAGUUAGUUACUAGACUUCUUUCUUGAUCAUCAUAUUCGUGCUAGUUAACAAUUCUUUAGAAGAAAAGACCAAAAAAAAAAAAAAACACCCAUCUAAAUUAGAUGAUCUAAUUAGGAAACAAAAAUUUCAUAAAAAUUAGGAAUAAAAUUCAAAAAGGAUGGAGUCUCGUGCCUGUUGUAGUUACUUGAAAGAGUCUUUAAAUAUAGAGGAAUUUAGACAAAACGCUUAUAGAAGAGAAAAAUUUAGACAGAAGACAAAGAGGACGACAUGAGGACAUGCAAAAAACCUAGAAGAAGAACGGCAAAGGAAAACCUGUUGAGAGUUGUCCCAUAUUAGUGAGGAACAAGGUUUGCUAUGUGCUUAUAUGAUCUUGGGCUACUCCCUAUAUUGCCAAUUGGUUUAUGGUGGAACCUUAAUUUCAUCAUGGUAUCAGAGCAAGGUUGUCCACGUGUGAAGCCCAACGGUCACACGCGCUCCACGUCACCCAGUUGUUGUCCACGUGUAGGCUUGAAAAUCCACCACACUUGCGGGGGCGUGUUGAGAGUUGUCCCACAUCGAUGAGGGACAAAGUUUGCUAUGUGCUUAUAUGGUCUUGGGCUACUCCCUAAAUUGCCAAUUGGUUUCAUGGUGGAACCCCAAUUUCAUCAAAAACUACACAAUAAAGGUGAUGUAAGACUGGUAGAACACCUAGGACCUAAUUAGGCAGAUACCAUGUAGAAAUAUAAUUUCCUCAAUUCGGUGUGUAUACAAAUUUUACAAUGUAUAGGGUUAAACAUAAGGAUUGUUGAAGAAAAAUUAGUUUCGAAAAAUAAUGAAAAGCGUCUCAUAAUCUUUUCUUUCCAAAACCACCUAAUGACUUUCUUUAAUCAUAAGAACAAAGAGGCGUGGUAGUAUCGUAGAUAAGUUCAAGUUUGGGAGUGGUGGCAGUAUGAUAAAUUUUCGUUUAUGAAAAGGGUUACCAAUUUUAUGAAAAAUUAAAAAACGGUUGCGGUGCCACCAAACUUCAACUUAUUAACAAUAUUGUUAGCGCUUUCUUGUUUAUGUACCUAUUUGUCAUUAAAAAUUUCAUAUGUUGUUGAUUGCACGAAUUUCUUACAAAAAAUCUUCGGGGUGUGUAUGCGACCUUAACGCAAAAAACACUACUCAUAUCCUUAACCUACUUCAAAUUUUUUGUAAAGAAUUAAUGGCUAUGAGUCUAUGACCAAAUAUGAAUACGAAAAACUAAAUAACAUGUAAUUGAUAAUUAAUUGACUCACCUGAACCAGCAGCAAAGGACAACCAAUAAUUCCAUCAGAGCCUGGAAAAUUAAAUAAGAACUCCUCUAAAAGUGGACAAGGGGGUAGAAUUUUGUCUCCUAGUUGCUCAAGUGUGACAUCAGCAGAAGCCUCAACAAACAAGAUACCUUCACCGUUGCAAUCGACCAUGAGCUUUCUGUUAGGCCCUUCCUUAAGCCUUCCAGCUAAAGGGUAGUAAUACACUAAUGCUCUACUUAAGGCUUCCCUAAUCACCUUAACGGGAUUACAAUUUUUAUUAAGUGAAGGGUUAUCUUUGUAACACAUUAUGACUGGAACCUGAAAUCUCAAGCCUUCUUGGUCGUCAAUAUCUGAGAGAAACUUUGUUUCUUGAGGAGUUGGCUUUGCCGGAGUUAUAAGUUCCAAUUGCAAUCGUUUUACCUGAAGUACUGAGAGUGGCAUCAUUUCAGUAACGAGCUUAAGAACUAGCAAAAGAUCAAAGGAUUUGGAACUUUUAUUUUUUGGUAUGCAUGGUAACUAAAAGUUGAUAGUCAGUACUUAUAUAGCGUUAUGCAGAUGCUCUAGGGCUCCCGAAUCCUUCGUCCAAGUUUCCACCUGUUGUGAAUGUGAUUCUUUUCUUUUCCAUUAAAAAUGUUGUUAGAAAGAAACGUUUAAAUCACGCAAUCAACAUGGACUGCAAAGAAAACAUUGUACGUACCUGCCCCAAUUCACAGUUCACAGUUCACACCACAGAUUCGUACAUAUAAUAAUGAAUUUCAAUUCAACAUCAGAAAACUGAAUACUAACAGGGAUAUGAGGACAGGUGUUCGGUAGAAAACCUUUGAUAGGAAUGGAAGUAAAAAGGCCAACAUCGUUCGUACCUGCCCCAAUUACAGCUGUCACUUUUGUAAAACAUCCAUUAGACGUCUGCUAUAAAGGAAAACAUUGUUGGGACUUGGGAGCACGUGAAGUGUUGGGCUAUAAAGGAAAACAUUGUUAGAAGCAGGUCAAGUGUUGGGCUAUAAAGGAAAACAUUGUUGGCGUAUUGAUGGCGUGGAGCACGUCAAGCGUUGGGCUUCACAUAUGACAUAAUUUGCUCAGAUACCAUGAUAAAAGUUGAGGUUCCAUCUUCAUUUAGUAUUAUAAUUUAGUUGUAUUUCUCUUCACUUAUAAGUGAAAGAUUUUAUGUUCAAUUCUCGUCAAAGGUUCAAAGGAGAACUUGAACUACAUUAUUAUUACUCCAUUGUGAGUCUAAACCCAUUAUUUUUCUCUUAGUGUAGAUAAUGUCGUUUGUUAAACAAAAACAUAGAGUAGUUGAGUUUCUAUCAUAAAACUAAUUGACAAUAUGAAGAGUAACUCAAUUACUUAUAAGCACAUGCAAAUUCCUUCCCUUACCUAAUAUGAGAUCUAUACUCUCAACAUUUCACUGUUAAGCAAAUAUGUACAAAAAAAAAAUGGAACAAAUAAUUCGAUCACUUGGACAAAAUAGAACUCACUUAAGACAAUAUUAUAUUUGUUAAAGACAAGACUCACUGAAGACAAUAUUAUGUUUGUUAAAAUGGCAAUGGAGCUUCUGAUUACACCCAACUUUUAUCUCCUCACCCAAUGAACUCCUUUUACUCUACAAGAUUUUAAAAAAUUAACAUCUACUCUCCGUACUCACCGAAUCUUCCAAAAUUACCCCUUCCAAAUCCUUCUCCAUCUUACACGAUAUAUCUUCCAACAACCUCCCCUUCAAUACGGGGCUGCCGAACCCACUUUCCUCCAUCAAUAUUUGGUUCUUCAUCAAGUUAUGCACACUCUUUUGAGAAUUCAACUUAAUUAUAAGGAACAUGAAACCAACAGCUCUUAGCAACUACUUGUGAAUUAUGUAUUUAUUUGCGUUCAUUUAAGUUGGUGGUUAGCCAUCCAAUUGUUCUUCCCCAUCAAUUUUUAGAAGAAAUCAAACCAAACUAGACUUGAGUGUUCAUAUAUUCAUUGGAGUUGAAUAUAACAAUACGUAAAAUUCCAUCACUAAGAAGUAAGAAGCCAAAUUGUAUCAAGACUUUGUAACAGCAGCAUGAAGGUCAGAAGUCGACUUGGAGGAGAAGAUCGCGAGCGGGUUCAGCUAGCACUGGUUAACUGAACCCCCGAUUCCAUGUUCAUGGUUAUCGGCUAAUCCUCAACUCUUAUGUUCGGUGCUUAACUUCCGAACAUUGAACUUUUUGUCAAAUUUUGAUUGAAUAAAUGGAUAAAAACUAUGUAAAAAUAAUAAAUAAUAAAUGGCAAAAGAAUGUAUCCAUAGUGUUAAAAAAAUUGGUAAAUUUUACAAACAAAUUGGUACAUUUCACAUAUAACAAAGUGGUACAUUAAUAAAGAAGAAUGGGUACAUUAGAAAUAAAUUAGGGUACAUAUAAAAGAUUAAAAAUUAUGAAUACAAAUGAAUUUUUAAAAUAUAGGCGCUAAAAGAAAUUAAUACAUGGGUACAAAAUAAAACCAAAAAGAAAAUACUACAAAUUUAAAAAAAAAAAUGUUGCAAAUUAAAAGUGGGUAUAAACUAAAAAUAUAAAUAUAUGAUACAAAGUUUAGGCAUAAAACAUAAAUAUAUUAUAUGUAAUUUUUCUAUCAUUGAUUAAAUGUCAUGUGACGGUAUACACAUGGGUACAAACACAAAUAAAACUUUAAAAAAAUAUGGGCACAACAAGAAACUAAUAUAUGGGUACAAAUUAAAAAUGAAAAGAAAAUUGGUACAAAUUAAAAAAUAUUUGCAAAUUAAAAAUUGGUACAAACUAAAAAUAAAAAUAUAUGAUAAAAAAUUUAGUCAUAAAUAUAAAUACACUAAUUGUAACAUUUUUAUCAUUAAAGGAAUAUAUUUAAAAAUAAAAAUAUUUUAUUAUUCAAAUAAUUAAUGAUGUUAUUAAUACCCAAGGACCUUGAUCAAAAAUUGAAAAUGAAUAAAAUUUUAAUUAAUGAAGUAACAAAAAGAAGGAUGUGAACCUAAUUUUCCCUUGCCAGAUACCACAGACCACCUUUUCAAAGUGCUCUGACAGAGUUAAAACAUGUGAAACUGGCAGCUCCCACUACCGUGCUAUGACCAAGCAGGGUAAAGGAAUAGCAUUACUACUUGUUGUUAGGGAGACUCCUAUAUAUGUCGACUUCCAUCCCCAACGGACAGGCAGACCUGCAAAAAUGCUCAACCCUUCAUCAUAUCUGAGAGGGCACUCCCAACGAAGCCUUUCGAAAUAUUCAGCUUUCUUUCCCCCCGAUAAUACCUCUGCAAACAAGCUAUACUAGAGCAAGAAUAUCUCAUAUCAUCAGGGUUAAAAGCAAGAGUAUCCCAUAUCAUGCUUUUUCCCUGUCUUUUCCUUUGGCCUUGUUUUUACCUGCAAGACAAGGAGAAAGAGAGCAAUCAGUCAGCACUUGGAAUCAAGCUUCCAGCCAGGAAGUGACUGCCUGGAACCCCCUUACCUGAUUACUUACCUGGCAUUGCUCUCGAGUACUCAUCUUCAACAUGUUAUGUUUCCAGGGAAGAUUCCGCAUCUGCUUGAGGAACAGAUAGGGCAAGUGCGAAGGAUACAAGGAAGCAUGUGGAGACAAGCGUAACAGCACACGUGCCGAUACAUCCAUUACUCUGUCAAAAGCAAAAGUAUCCCAUAUCAGCAGGGUGGAACGUACUCUAGAUUUGAUGGACUUGUUUUGACCCUCAAAUUCUUGAGUCGGCCUUAUAUACUCUGGAGGAAACCAGAAAAACCCUCCAGCUCAGUUCAAGAAUAAGCCUGUGGAAAGUUACUUCUUCAAAAGCAAAAGUAUCUCAUAUCAUCUCUUCUCAUUUUUCUUUUCUCUUUAUCCUUCAUGCUGCUGCAAGAUGGGGAGAAGGUGAACAAUCAGUCGGAGCUCUGAUUGCUUACCUUGUCUGUCACCUCUUUCAGCAGACCCCCUAGCUCGGCGACUUGGGGGACUCCUACUACAUGGUUUGUAUCGCGCUUGACCAAGCCUGAAACUACAAGUAAGCUUCAAGUGAAAUUGAUACAUUACCUUGUGCAUCUCCACCAGUUAAAAGAUACCACCCCUGGAUGGAGGAAGAGUACUUCCAGAGAAGAUGCCACAUCUACCUAUGAGACAGAUAAGGCAAGUCAAGACGACACCACACACUCCGAUACUUAGAAGUUUCGUGAUUACGAGAUCAUUCUCCCACAAUAUUUCCGAAUGUCAUUUGUACUAAAUCAUUCACUUGUACUCACUAAAGGAGAGCUUGAACCUAUGUACUUGUGUAAACCCUUCACAAUUAAUGAGAACUCUUCUAUUCCGUGGACGUAGCCAAUCUGGGUGAACCACGUACAUCUUGUGUUUGCUUUCCUAUCUCUAUCCAUUUAUAUACUUAUCCACACUAAUGACCGGAGCAAUCUAGCGAAGAUCACAAAAAGCGACCGUUUUCGCUACCUAGGAUCUAUCUUGCAAGAGAACGGAGAAUUAGAUGGAGAUCUCAACCAUAGAAUACGAGCUGGAUGGAUGAAGUGUAAGAGUGCAUCCGGUGUGUUGUGUGACCGUCGUAGGCCACUGAAGCUCAAGAGAAAAUUUUAUAGGACGGCAAUAAGGCCAGCGAUGUUUUAUGGCACAGAAUGUUGGGCGGUGAAGCAUCAACACGUACACAAAAUGGGUGUAGCGGAGAUGAGGAUGCUUCGUGGGAUGUGUGGGGCACACGAGAAAGGAUAAGAUUGGGAAUGGGGAUAUCCGAGGUAAAGUAGGAGUAGCCGAAAUUGUAGGAAAGAUGAGAGAAAAUCGGCUCCGGUGAUUUGGACAUGUGCAAAGAAGGCCGACUGACGCUCCGGUUCGAAGAUGUGACUACGGGACAGAGGUUCAGGGCCGAAGGGGUAGAGGAAGACCUAGGAAAACUUUGGAAGAGACUCUAAGAAAAGACUUAGAGUACUUGGAUCUAACGGAGGACAUGACACAAAACCGAGCGCAAUGGCGUUCUAGGAUUCAUAUAGCCGACCCCACUUAGUGGGAAAAGGCUUUGUUGUUGUUGUUGUAAUAACAUUCAGACCUUUGGAUAACAACUAUAACUCUUGGAUAAGUUCCAAGAGACACAACUCUACAUUACAGAAAGUGCAUUACGUCUAAAACUCACACCAUUGACAUGAUCCUAGUGGAUCUAAGGUUGUUACAUAUAUAUCAUCCAUAGGUUCCUGAGUAAUCCUCUCUAGUUCCUGCUGAAAUCUCUCCAUGGCGGCCGAGGAUGGCAAACACAAUGGUACCAAUAUUCCAUCCUCAGUGUUGUUUUUGUGUUGAACGUAGAAGCUAAUCAAAUCCAAGGCCUUGGCGGGUCCAGCAAAUACAGGCUGUCCCCAUCCAAAAUUAACAUCUCCAAAACCUGCACGCGUAUUAUCAGAAACUAGGAAAUAACUUCCUGUUGAUGAAUAUUGAGGUCGCCCUCUUAGUACCAAAAGAUCUGCCACUGAUCUUAAGUAUUCUUCAUUCAUGGUAGCUUUAGCCUUCUUCACCAACUCCAAAGCAUAUCCCAGUGGAUUUUUGCAUAGAGGUUCAGCCUUUGAAACUGCAGUUGGAAAUGCAAAUGCAUUGCCACAGUAUCCCAAGGGAAGACGUACAUUGUGGUGCUUUCCCUGUGCAUUGACAAUGCAUGAAACUCGAACAGCCUGUUUUGGAUUAAUUUUAAGUGCAAGAGUGCGACAUUUCCACAAACAAGCUGUGAUCAAGUCAAAUGUGGAGCAAGUGGAAAUUACGUGGGGUGGAAUCUGUUUUCGAAUGACUCAUCUCCUUGGCACCAAAGUAGAAAGAUCGUUGAACCAUGUUUGACUGGUUACUGGAUGCGUAUGAGCCAUCAGAAUGAUCAAUCACGUCUUCAUAUUCAUGAUGAGCACAUGUAAUUGUUGGUGGAUCUCGAGUGAACAAGAGCUCUCUCUCCCACACUGGUAGAAUAGAUGGUGCAUGUGCGCAUCUUGCCAUCUCUGCAAUAGCGGUCAGGAACAGGAGUAAUCCAGGUGCAUCACACAUUGUGUGGUUUACGUGCAAUGCAAGUAUGAAGCCUCCACAUGUAAGACAUGUCACCUGCAUAUUGCAAAAGUUAGUUACUAGACUUUUUUCUUGAUCAUAUUCGUGCUAGUUAACAAUUCUUUAGAAGAAAAGACAAAAAAAUAAAUACAAACAACAACAACAACAACAACAAAGCCUUUUCCCACUAAGUGGGGUCGGCUAUAUGAAUCCUAGAACGCCAUUGCGCUCGGUUUUGUGUCAUGUCCUCCGUUAGAUCCAAGUACUCAAGUCUUUUCUUAGGGUCUCUUCCAAAGUUUUCCUAGGUCUUCCUCUACCCCUUCGGCCCUGAACCUCUGUCCCGUAGUCACAUUUUCGAACCGGAGCGUCAGUAGGCCUUCUUUGCACAUGUCCAAACCACCGGAACCGAUUUUCUCUCAUAUUUCCUUCAAUUUUGGCUACUCCUACUUUACCUCGGAUAUUCUCAUUCCCAAUCUUAUCCUUUAUCGUGUGCCCAUACAUCCCACGAAGCAUCCUCAUCUCCGCUACACCCAUUUUGUGUACGUGUUGAUGCUUCACCGCCUAACAUUCUGUGCCAUACAACAUCGCUGGCCUUAUUGCCGUCCUAUAAAAUUUUCCCUUGAGCUACAGUGGCCUACGACGGUCACACAACACGCCAGAUGCACUCUUACACUUCAUCCAUCCAGUUUGUAUUCUAUGGUUGAGAUCUCCAUCUAAUUCUCCGUUCUCUUGCAAGAUAGAUUCUAGGUAGCGAAAAAAGUCACUUUUUGUGAUCUUCGCUAGAUUGCUCCGGUCAUUAGUGUGGAUAAGUAUAUAAAUGGAUAGAGAUAGGAAAGCAAACACAAGAUGUAUGUGGUUCACCCAGAUUGGCUACGUCCACGGAAUAGAGGAGUUCUCAUUAAUUGUGAAGGGUUUACACAAGUACAUAGGUUCAAGCUCUCCUUUAGUGAGUACAAGUGAAUGAUUUAGUACAAAUGACAUUAGGAAAUAUUGUGGGAGAAUGAUCUCGUAACCACGAAACUUCUAAGUACCGGAGUGUGAUAUCGUCUUGACUUGCCUUAUCUGUCUCAUAGGUAGAUGUGGCAUCUUCUCUAGAAGUACUCUUCCUCCAUCCAGGGGUGGUAUCUGUAACUGGUGGAGAUGCACAAGGUAAUGUAUCAAUUUCACUUGAAGUUUACUUGUAGUUUUAGGCUUGGUCAAGUGCGAUACAAACCAUGUAGUAGGAGUCCCCCAAGUCGCCCGGCUAGGGGAUCUGCUGAAAGAGGUGACAGACAAGGUAAGCAAUCAGAGCUCCGGCUGAUUGUUCACAUUCUCCCUAUCUUGCAGGCAGCAUGAAGGAUAAAGAGAAGAAAAAUGAGAAGAGAUGAUAUGGGAUACUUUUGCUUUUGAAGAAGUAACUUUCCACAGGCUUAUUCUUGAACCGGGCUGGAGGGUUUUCUGGUUUCCUCCAAAGUAUAAGGCCGACUGAAGAAUUUGAGGGUCAAAACAAGUCCAUCAAAUCUAGAGUACGUUCGACCUUGCUGAUAUGGGAUACUUUUGCUUUUGACAAAAAAAUAAAUAAACCAUCUAAAUUAGAUGAUCUAAUUAGGAAACAAAAAUUUCAUAAAAUUAGGAAUAAAAUUCAACAAAGAUGGAGUCUCUUUGAAAGAGUCUUUAAAUAUAGAGGAAUUUAGACAAAACGCUUAUAAAAGAGAAAAAUUUAGACAGAAGACAAAGAGAAUGACAUGACGACAGGCAAAAAACCUAGAAGAAGAACGGGAAAGGAAAACCUACACAAUAAAGGUUAUGUGAGACUGGUAGAAAACCUAGGACCUAAUUAGGCAGAUACCAUGUAGAAAUAUAAUUUCCUCAAUUCAGUGGGUAUACAAAUUUUACAAUGUAUAGGGUUAAACAUAAGGAUUGUCGAAGAAAAAUUAGUUUCGAAAAAUAAUGAAAAGCGUCUCAUAAACUUUUCUUUCCAAAGCCACCUAAUGACCUUCUUUAAUCAUAAGAACAAAGAGGUGUGGUAGUAUCAUAAAUAAGUUCAAGUUUGGGUGUGGUGGCAGUAUGGUAAAUUUUCAUUUAUGAAAAGGGUUGCCAAUUAUUUGAAAAAGUUAAAAACAGUUGCGGUGCCACCAAACUUCAACUUAUUUACAAUAUUGUUAGCAUUUUCUGGUUUAUGUCCUUAUUUGUCAUUAAAAUUUUCAUAUGUUGUUGAUUGCACUAAUUUCUUACAAAAAAUACUCAUACCCUUAACCUACUUCAAUUUUUUGUAAAGAAUUAAUGGCUAUGAGUCUAUGACCAAAUAUGAAUACGAAAAACUAAAUAACAUGUAAUUGAUAAUUAAUUGACUCACCUGAACUAGCAGCAAAGGACAACCAAUAAUUUCAUCAAAGCUUGGAAAAUUAAAUAAGAACUCCUCUAAGAGUGGACAAGGGGGGUAGAAUUUUGUCUCCUAGUUGCUCAAGUGUGACAUCAGUAGAAGCCUCGACGAACAAGAUACCUUCACCAUUGCAAUCAACCACGAGCUUUCUGUUAGGCCCUUCCCUAAGCCUUCCAGCUAAAGGGUAGUAAUACACUUCUACUUAAGGCUUCCCUAAUCGCCUUAACGGGAUUACAAUUUUUAUUAAGUGAAGGGUUGAUUUUUAUUAAGUGAAGGGUUGUCUUUGUAACACAUUAUGACUAGAAGCUGAAAUCUCAAGCUUUCUUGGUCGUCAAUAUCUGAGAGAAACUUUGUUUCUUGAGGCGUUAGCUUUGCCGGAGUUAUAAGUUCCUAUUGCAAUGGUUUCACCUGAAGUACUGAGAGUGGCAUCAUUUCAGUAACGAGCUUUAGAACCAGCAAAAGAUCAAAAGAUUUGGAACUUUUAUUUUGUGGUAUGCAUGCCAACAAAAAGUUGAAAGUCAGUACUUAUAUAGCGUUAUGCAGAUGCUCUAGGGCUCCCGAAUCUUUCGUCCAAGUUUCCACCUGUUUUAAAUGUGAUUAUUUUCUUUUCCAUCAAAAAUGUUGUUAGAAAGAAAUACGCAAUCAACAUGGACUGCAAAGAAAAACAUGUUGUUGAGAGCCAUGUGCAUGGGACCAUUUCACAGUUCACACCACAGAUUCGUACAUAUACAUUAACACUGAAUUUCAUUUCAACAUCAGAAAACUGAAUACUAACAGGGUUAUGAGGACAGGCGUUCGGUAGAAAACCUUUGAUAGGAAUGGAAGGAAAAAGGCCAACAUCGUUCGUAACUGCCCCAAUUACAGCUGUGACUUGUAAAACAUCCAUUAGACGUCUGCUAUAAAGGAAAACAUUGUUGGGACUUGGGAGCACGUCAAGUGUUGGGCUAUAAAGGAAAACAUUGUUGGGGAGCACGUCAAGUGUUGGGCUAUAAAGGAAAACAUUGUUGGCAUAUUAGCACGGGAGACUAUUGUUUCACAUGACGUGGAGCACGUCAAGUGUUGGGCUUCACACAUAAGAUAAUCUGCUCUGAUACCAAAAUGAAACUUGUGGUUCCAUCGCCACUUAAUACUACAGUUUAGUGGUAUUCCUCUUCACUUGUAAGUAAGAGAUUUUAAGUUCAAUUCUCGCCAAAGACGAAUUUAAACCACAUUAUUAUUAGUUCAUUGUGAGUCUAAGCCCAUCAUCUUUCCCUCAGUGUAGAUAAUGUCGUUUGUUAAACAAAAAAAAAGAGUAGCUGAGGUUCCAUCAUAAAACUAAUUGACAAUAUGAAGUGUAACUCAAUUACUUAUAAGCACAUACAAAGUCCUUUCCUUACCUAAUAUGAGAUCUAUACUCUCAACAUUUCACUGUUAAGUAAAUAUGUAAAAAAACAAAGUGGAACAAAUAAUUCGAUCACUUGACAAAAUAGAACUCACUGAAAAUAUUAUGUUUGUUAAAGAUAGGACUCACUGAAGACAAUAUUAUGUUUGUUAAGGAACAUGAAACCAACAGCUCUUAGCAACUACUUGUGAAUUAUGUCUUUAUUUGCGUUCAUUUAAGUUGGUGGUUAGCAAUCCAAUUGUUCUUCCCCAUCAAUUUUUAGAAGAAAUCAAACCAAACUAGACUCGAGUGUUCAUAUACUCAUUGGAGUUGAAUAUAACAAUACGUAAAAUUCCGUCACUAAGAAGUAAGAAGCCAAAUUGUAUCAAGACCUUGUAAUAGCAGCAUGAAGGUCAGGAGUCAACUUGGAGGAGAAGAUCGCGAGCGGGUUCACCUAGCACUGGUUAACCGAACCCCCGAUUCUAUGUUCAUGGUUAUUGGCUAAUCCUCAACUCUUAUGUUCGGUGCUUAACUUCCGAACAUUGAACUUUUUGUCAAAUUUUGUGUUCAGAAUGUUCAAAUACAUGAUUCAAUCUAGUUGUAUUUUAUUUAAGAAAAUAGAAACAAACCCAAGAGGAUUUCAGGGAAAAGUGAUAGCAUAGGGCAGAACAUUGCAGCUCAAACGUCACUUACAUACUUCAAUGAUUUAGGGUUUUGGUCACGAUACCACCUUACAUCUCAUUUAAAUUAGCUAGUUAACAAAAGCCUUCAAGAACCCAGUUGUUCUAAGCUAAUCUAAACCUCACACCAAAGCAAACCUAUAUCAGCCCUACAUUUGUAAUUUUGGACUGAGUCAACAUAUUUGGCCGUUACAAAUUUUGAAAAAACUAAGCCAUUACUUUUGUUUAAUACAAAAAAUUGGAAGCUAGAAAUCAAUUUAGGCAUCAACACUCUCCUUCAAAUUGUUUUUAGUUUUGACACCAAGCAAAUCACUGAGGAAUACAAAAGUCUCUUUUAGCGUACCCUUAGUAAAUAUAUCAACAGUUUGAUCUUCAUAUUUGCAAUAGAGUAAUUCAAUCACAUUAUCUGAGGUACAAAGGAUCUCUAAUAAAGUGAUGGUUCCUCUUGACAUGUUUUGUUGUUUAGUGAAUCAGAGGAUAUCUUGUUAUAGCAAUUACAAAGGUGUUGUUGAAUUUUAGUGAUAUAGCAUCUACUUUGAAAAGGUAGCUGGGUUGAGGAACCCAAACCCAAUAGAUAAAUAAUCUCAACUAAAAUUCCAAACGAGGAUUCAAGUACAGUUUCAAUCAUACUACGUAACAGUGAAUAACAAAAUUAAAUAGAGAAAAAAGAACAAAAGACUCACGAUAUAAUUCAUGGGCAUACAACCGACUAAAGAACCAUUGAGAAAUAAGUACUUUUACAAGACAAACAUCUACUACACUUGAAGUUUUCUCUUGUACUUUUAAUCAUGUAGCACACAGUCUUUCUUUUGCUCUCUUUUGGAUGAACAUGACGCACUCAGCAAAUUCUCCUCACGACUAAAGAGAUUGCACUCAACUUCGUCACAUAGAUGGACACAACUUCUUCACCCAAAUGAAUAUGAUGAAUAAUAUGAAAGGUAUGAAGUGUUUCACUAAGAUCACUUUUCUAACCUAGCACUCAAGAACUUUGUUUUAAACCUUUUAUGCUCAAAUCUUAUAACCAAGCAAAGAUGAAUGAUAGGCUUGAUUUCCUAUGAAACCAACAGUCUAGAAUAAAGGAAACUGGAAUUAUGAACUAGAAUAAAUCAAAUUGAGUUUAUUUCUUAAAACUAAGCAAUUAAACUGAUAUUAUAAUCUUCAAGAUAUGCAAUGAUGUGAUUCUCGUUUCCUAUAUGAAUGCACAUGAUACUCCAAUAUAUGCCUUGAUGUGCACGUUUUCAGUAAUUAAACCUAGAAACUACGACACGCCUAAAAUAUAGAACUAAUAUAUUGCAGACGCAUUAAACUUGUCUAGGAAAUUAGCCAAAUACAAAAGCUUGCGCUUUCACACUUGCAUUCAAUUAAGUCCUUAAGAACAAACCUCAGCCAAAUUGCUUGAGAAUAGCCUCUCCAAGGAAGAACAUCACUUCGAAGAAAGUCGUCUUUGACUUUGGGCUAAUCAAGGGUUGUCAUUCCUUUAAUUCUAUGGUGAAAUUGGGUUAAGAUAAAAAAUAAUUUUUUUUAACAAAUGAUAUUAUCUACAUUAAAGAGAGAGUGUGCUAAACCUAACAAUGGGCUAGCAUAAUGUGGUUCAAAUUCUCUUUUGUCGAUAAUCUAACCUAAAACCUUUCAUUUACAAGUGAAGGGAAAAACCACUAGACCGAAGUACUAAGUGGCAAUACUUUGGAUUAGUUUGGUAUUCCUGUGCUUUCUAAAAAAAUGUGAUUAUGUUGUCCUAUGAGAAUAAACAGUUGUUGCGUGUUUGAUAACUUUUUUUUUUUGUAAAAGUGCUUUUAACACAAAAAAACAGUGUCUGAGUGUUUGGUAAAUUGUUAUAUAAAUUGUUGUGAAUGUGUUAAAUAACUAAAAAGGAUAUGGUAUGUAGUGUGAUAUAAUAAUUGUCAAAGACAAUAACGUAGGGGCAAAAAUUGUAAUUUUGUAAAAUAUGUGGGGUUGUACUUGCCUUUGAAAAUUUUAUUAAAUGAGCACUAAUUACUAUAUUUCGAAGAAAAAAACAAAGCACUUUCUUUAGAAGCAUGGUAGACUCUGUUUUUGUUUUUUCUAUGCUUUUCUAUUGUCAUUGACAACAGUUUUUUAAAAAAUCAUUUUUUUUUUUGUUACUGUUGACCGGAAAAACUACCAAGCCCACGUGGCGCGUAGGCCAAAUAAUUAAUAAGCUAACUACGUCAUUCGGUUGUGUGUGGGGCGUGCCAACUCGUCGGCCGAGCUCGGCCGGGGAGUAAAAUGUUUUAAUGUCAUGUUGGGCGUGCUGUUGACUUCUUGAUCUUACGACUGCGGCCGAGGAAGGAACAUGUCUCGGCCUUCCGGAUCUAGAGCCUGAAGACAAGGUUGCUAGUUCUGCGAAGUUCAAAAUCAAAUUCAGCUUUCAAUGUGCCGAAUGUAGUAACCUGUAACACCUCACUUCGUCGAGAAGGCUAAUGAGAUGACCUCUGCCAAUAAGGAUUUGAAAAUCCUUCUCGACCGAGACUUAGAUAGAUAACUAGUCGGCCUAUUCGCAGUGCUGUUUAUCUAAAUUGUAGGUGCUCCGCGGUCGACUGAUUCUAUGGCAACAGUGUUGUUUAUCCAAACUGAAGAUGUUCGCCGGUUGCCUUCACAGUGAUGUUUAUCCAAACUGAAGAUGUGUUGGCGAAAAAGGAAAAUAAAAAUCUCAAGGUUGUUGAGAGGUUUCGCGUAGAGCGAGAGUUUGCGCAUGGCAGCUUGUGUGUUGAAUUGGAGGGGGUCAUCUUCUCGUUGCCACUGCCUCUGUAUUUAUAGGGACGCGCCGACUUGAUCUUUGAAUAUUGCACGAGAUUUUUGGCGUGGAUCAGACUCAACCAAAUGCAUGGAGUUCUCAUGCAAUUAUCCAACCAAUUUAAAAUCUCCAUCAUUAUCUCCUUUUCUCCUUAUUGUGUCCAUCAUUAUCCAAGUAUUUGAUGAUCUCCAUGUGCUGGAACCAAGGCAUGCAAAUAAUUAGCAUGCAAGUUUAUCUCUUAGCCAUGCAUUUCAAACUGAAACAUCACAACAAUCCACUCAUCUUUCCACCAAAUUUGACCAGGUGCAAUCAUGCACUAUCAAAAAGUUCAAACUUGAUCCCAUCUUUCCCAUCCUUUCAAAGCCCACGAGUUCCAAUCUGAUGCAAUUUGUCCGACUAGAUUCUUGGCAUCCUACCAAGGAUAAUUUGGGGGUGCUCUUUAUUCCACCAUCACUUUAUAAUUUUAUCCAUGCAUGCAUAAUAACCUUCAGCCGUCUAAGUGAACUCCAAAUUUUGUUUGUUUACUAAUUAUCAUCAUACUUUAAAUGGAUAAUAAUCAAUUUGCAGCAUACCACUUGAACCUGUCAGUCAACCAAACUGAUCUCACCCACACAUUCACACGCCAAACAUCCAAAAUCAACUUGAAUUGUGCUACCGUGUUUCCAGCUUGGAGAUACAUAUCUCAUCUUAAUUAUCAUUAAAAGAUAAUUAUCAUAAUAUUAUCCUUCAAUAAUAACAAAACGAUCUUCACUAUUCGAUCUGAUGGUUGGGGGCUAUGCUUACUCAAUGACCUUGAUUGCAUGGGCCGAUGAUGUAAUUUUGGGUCCAAACAGUUACCAAACACACUUAAUGUUCCAGAUUUUUUAAAAGCAUUACAAUCCCAAAUCAGCCAUUUGUUAAAAUGUUUAGAAUUUUCUCAACCAAAUGGCUCAAAUGUGUAGGGGGAAUACUAUUAUGUAGUUGGCAUUCAGUGACUUGCUUAAUUUCUUUGAUUAGUGAAUAUGUUCUAGAUUGUUAAAUUAUUUUGUAUAAACUUAGCAUCCAUAAAGCAUUUUAAGUUAAACCAUAUUCACUAGCAAGAGCAUUUAAAUUGUACGACGUAGAAGACAAUUCUGAGAUCAAUCAUAAUCAUGUUUCGAAUUUUUACAUUUUUGCAAUUGAGUUAUAAGGAAAGACGUUCACUAUUCUGUUAAAAAUAAGGGAAAAACACAACAGUACAUAAGAUCACAGUUAUAAGCAUGAAUAUAUAAAACCAUAUAGUACUAACCUGAAGCAGCAGGCAUGAUGCUAAGGUUAUAGGGUAAGGAAGUUUUCUCCACACACAAUCAGAAUGUUCUUUACUGAUGAAUAGGGUAAACAACACUAAAGAAGAACGCAUACUAUGUGUGCAGAAACAUCCAUAUUUAUAUCACUAGGGUUUCCUACUAAUCUGCCUAUCAUCGAAUAGUCAGGAAUAUCCCAUAGCUUAUGAUAUCAAUUAUGUUUCUUAACAUGAUAUAUAAGUCUUACCAAAUGAGGCCUCCUAAUUAGUUGCAUGUGAUUAAGACUUCAAAUCUCAUUCAUAUCAGGACUCCCACAUAUUUGGCCGAGAAUCAACUUGGAGAAAACUUCCUUACCCUAUAACCUUAGCAUCAUACCUGCUGCUUCAGGUUAGUACUAUAUGGUUUUAUAUAUUCAUGCUUAUAACUGUGAUCUUAUGUACUGUUGUGUUUUUCCCUUAUUUCUAACAUGAUAUAUAAGUCUUACCAAAUGAGGCCUCCUAAUUAGUUGCAUGUGAUUAAGACUUCAAAUCUCAUUCAUAUCAGGACUCCCACAUAUUUGGCCGAGAAUCAACUUGUUACCAAGUUGAUUGUCGUGUAAGUCAACGGAUGGGAUUUCAUUGAUAUUCAAAUAAUCUUACAUAUUCUUCUAAGAAGAGGUUUGAAUUAAACCCAUUUACAUCAAAUGGGUGGGUCAUUUGUGGAGUGGCAGCGGCACAAGAAACCAAGUGUGAUUUGCCUACAGAGCCGUAAUCUCAUGUUGCAUGGCAGCACGCCAAUGGAGGUCUUGAACAGCCUGCGAAAAACUUAUGGGUUCUUUAAUGACCGUGAGGUUAGCUGUAUAGGAUUUAUGGUAGGGUGAAAAACAAUUAUACGAUAAGUGGUGAGAGAGUGGAUGAGAGGUACCUGAUGACUUAACCACGUUCAUUGAAGAUGUCGAAGUAAGUCUUGACGAAAGAGAGGUCUCGACGUGAAAGUCCUGCAAAAAUGAGGAAGGCUUUGUGGGACGUAUGACACGGUGGAGUGGUAAUGGUGUAGGUGCAGGGCUGGGCGGGGUGAAAUAAGGACAGUAGGUGGUGUUUCUGGAGAAGGCAAGAUCCUGUUCGGUAUUUGUGAUGGUGAUAAAGGUGGCUGCAAUAUUUCUGGUGUUGGUGGGCAUAUAAGGUUUGUGUGGUAUCAUGGGAUUCAAGAGAUAACUUGUUAGAUGUGAUGACUUGAGGAAUGGUGGGAGGGAAAGAGUCCAUAUCUAAGUGCAAUGGUGAGAAGUUUGUAUUGAACAAGGAAUUAGAGGCAGCGGAAAUGUCUGAGGUGUGGUAGGGAAAUUGAUCUCAAAAAAAAAAAACAUCCCGUGACACAAAAACCUUUCGGAGGGUAAGAUCAAAUAAUCUGUAACCUUUUUUUACCAUAGGGAUAACCAAUGAAAAUGCGACGACAUGCACAAGGGUCAAAUUUUAAAGGCAACUCGUAGGUGAAAGUAAUUCAGUUCCUUGUGAAACAAUUUUUCAUAUGGUGUUUUUCCUUGAAGAAUUGGUGUGGGUGUUCGAUUUAUGAGAUAGGCAGAAGCUAGGAUUGCAUCCCACAAAAACGUUCAAUUAGGAAGAUUAGCUUGAAAAAGUAAGGCUCGAGCAACAUUAAGCAAGUGUCGAUGCUUACGUUCAGCGACACUAUUUUGUUGUGGUGUGUUGAUGCAACUAGUUUGAUGGACAAUUCCCUUGAGAUUAUAGAAAGUGUCAAGUUUGAACUCAAGACCAUUGUCACUUCAAACCAUUUUGACCUUAGUAUUGAACUGAUUUUCUACCAUGUGGAUGAAUUGGACAAGGAAUUCUAUUGUAUCGGAUUUGUGUUUCAUCAAAUAAAUUCAUGUGCUCAUAGUAUAAUCGUCAACGAUGGUGAGAAACUAUUUUGCACUUGAAAUAGAAGUAACUUGAUAACCACCCCAAAUAUGAACAUGGAUUAACUCAAAACAUGACUUAGUGGAUAUGGAACUCAAUGAAACGGUAAUCUCAUUUGUUUGGCCAAUGAGCAAAAAUGAAACAUUUAUUUGAAUCACAAGAUUUAUUUUGGAAAAAAGGAAAUAACAUGGAAACUUUAUGCGAUGGAGUGCCCAAAAAGUUGAUGCCAAAAGCUAUAAGGUGGGGUUUUGACAGUUUUGCAUGUUCCUUUCUUUGGUGGGUCGAGAUAAUAAAGUCCAUCUCGUUCAAUUCCCGUCACAAUCAUCUUCCCUGAACGUAGGUCCUGUACGACACAAAAUUGGUUUAGAAAGAUUGUGAUGUAUAAUGAGUCAUAGGCUAAUUUGCUAAUUGAUAUCAAGUUUAACGUAAAGAGUGGUACACACAAAACGUUAUCAAGAACAAGGUUGGGAAAGAAAAUAACUUGUCCAACAUGAGUAAUUUUAGCAAAUGAGCCAUUUGGUAAUUCAGCAGUAUGGUUUUCAACGGGUCUUGAAGAUGCGAGGGAAUCAGGACUGCAAACGAUAUGGUCUGUGGCCCCACUAUCCAAAAUCCAAACUUUUUUCUUGUCAUUGCAUGUGAAAGAAAAAGCUUUACCUGAAAGUUCUUAUGGUUUGAAGAAUUACCCACUUGGUUGGCAAAAUAUGAUUUGUUCCUGUUCAGCAUUUGGAGAAUUUGCUUGCAAUCCUCCUGAGAAAAAGGAAAGUUAGGCAUCACUUCCCUUUUGUCGUGGGUUGCAACUUGAUUGCCUUUGGAGGAGAAAGGUCGACUUUGUUCACUCUCAAAGGCUGUCUUCCUCUUGAGGCAAAAACCAAAAAAGUGACCCUUCCAUCCACAGAAGGUACACUUGAGAUAAGCACGACAAUUUUUAGUAGUGUGAUUCGUCUUGUUGCACUUCCCAAAUCGAGGUCCACCGUCCUCUUAUUCAGCUUCUCGGCUAGUGGUUUUCACGGCAAAUUCCGCAACUUCUGGUUGGGUAAUAUUGUUUUUCCCACCGGAAACUUCCGCCUGUCUCUCAACACGGAGAACCAAUGAGUAGGCUUUGUUUACUGUGGGCAGUGGCUCAAGAGAAGAAUGUUGUUGCGAACGGUGGCAUAAGAAUCAUUCAACCCCAUGAGAAACUUCAUGGUCUUCUGUGUUUCAACGUACAAAGCAAUCUCCUUCUUUGUUUCACAAUUACAUGCCACAAUCGAACAUAGUACUCCUCGUUCAUCCUAGAGACUUUUUAGUCUGGUGAAGUAGGAACUUACUAUCAUGAUUCCUUGCACGUAGCUGUGAAUCUCAUUCUUUAUGUAAAACAGUUAGACGAUGUUCACAUGAGAGUUUGCCCUAAUACGUCUAAACUUGUCUAAUUUCAUUACUUUGUUGUGGAAUAUUUGAUAAGUAUUUAACGUCAUUUCUUUUUUGUUUUUUCACUUUUAUACCGUCUGUUAUACAUUUAUGUGAUUAAAUCUACAUGAAGAAUAUUAGGGUUCCAAACUUAAUGCGUGUGAUGUCUCUAUGACGAACGUGACUAGUUCAUGUUAAUUUGUACUUAUUUAGGUGGGAUUUGAGUAUUGAACCCUUGCCUUAUGUACUUAAUCACAUCUUUUAAGUUGCCCAAACUCUCAAUUUCUUUGCGGCAGUGCGCAGUCGAACAACAUGCAGCCUUGCCCCCACAUUUCAAGGAAAUAUCAUUUUUUUUUUGUCGAAGGAAAUAUCAUAUCAAUUGGGCAAUUUCAUGGGUGGAGAAGCUGUUGAGAGCCUGCAUGCAAAUGAAUAGGAUGAAGUUGUUGCCACUAUAGAUUGUAAAAGAGUUAAGGAUACUGAGGAAGAUUUUGUAAAAGAGUGCUGCAUUCUCGAUAGAGUGCUUCAUGCGUAAGGAUGGCAACGAUUCGGAUCGAAAACUUUUGCACUCUUAUUUAUUUAACUGUGAAAAAUAUUGGUACACAUAACCACAAAUUAAUCAUUUACAUGAUAACGAAUUUCCCAUCGUUUAACUUUACUAGUUUACCCAUUUCACCCAUAACAAAACAGAAAAAAACAAAUUUUUUGUAAUUAAUAGAAGAAAAAAAACCCCCAUAUUUAAUCACAUUAUGUCAAUCACGGUCUAGUGGUAUUCCUCUUCACUUGUAAGUGAGAGGUGUUAGGUCCGAUUCUCGUCAAAGGGGAAUUUGAAUCAUAUUAUCGCUAGCUCAUUGUAGCACUUAGCACACUCCCAAUAAACAGCCACCCUCUCUCUCAGUCUCUCUCGAAGCAACUGCUGCAAGCAUGCAACUCUCUCAAACAAAAGAACAAAGCCUCCCUCCACCACACAAAUACGGCCAGCCACCACCACACACAACCACAAGCCACCACGAUCCGGCGAUUCUCCAUUUCCCUCUCUCAGACUAUCUCUUUCUAGGAGUCGGCGUCUCUCUCGACAAUUUCUACAACAACGGUGAGCUAAGAACUCUCCAUCUCGCAUUUUGAUUUUUCAUCAUUUACCGUCGCUUCUUAUUCUCUGAAAUGGAAGAGACCCCCGAUGAUUGAGAUCUUGAACGUCAUGCAAGAAAUUAAAAGCGAGAAGCCCCGGUAAUCCUCUUUAUUUAGGGAUUUAGGAUUAAUUUUUUAUUUAGGAUGCAUGUUGAAUUAGGGAUUUAUGAUUUAGGGCUUUUGAUUGUUGCUGCAUUUGGAUUUGGAUUUUUGGAUUAAUUUUAUGUGGAUUUGGUUGAUUUGGAUUUCUGAUAUUGGAUUUGGAUUUGGGUUUGAUUUGUUUAUGAGGCAAAUUCCUAUUGAAUUGAAAUUCCGAACUGUACGACCGAAUCCAGAAACUUGUUUUGAGAAUACCGAAAUUUCGGUUCGGUUUUGAUUUUCAGAAUCCCAUCCUGAUAAAGAUUGGUUGGAGAUUCGACUGAUCGAGAUGGCGAUUCGUACCACCACUAGUUUUGAUCAAGGUCUAAAAUAUCGAUGAUAUCGGAAAUAUCGGUAGUCCAAAAACACGAAAAUUUCGAUGAAAAUAUCGGGAUAUUAUCUGUCACAGCUCGUCUCAAGAUUCUAUUUGUCGAGGUUGUGAAAUGACGAAAGUACCCUUGACGGUUACAAAGGUAUGUGUAUGGCAUGUUUUGAAUAAUGUAUAUUUUCCUAAGUUUUGGAAAAUUUAAGUUGGAUUAAAGGAUGUAUGUAUAUUUGUGUGGUUAGGGAAUUAAGAGUGACUUGUUUUUGGGUGGACCACACACAAACGCACGGGACAAACCUUUCAUUCCCUGUGCCGUCUCUCUCUUCCCUCGCAGCUCACACUCUCUCUCCCUUCGAAUUGUACGGACCAAAGCACAAAACCCUCGAAUCACCACGGAUCGACGCCAAUAAGGUGAGAUUCUUCAUCCUUUUAACCUCCUGAUUUGAAUGGUGUUACUUUUAGAACUGAAAACUUUAGAAAUCUCGUCGAACCCGUGACCCAUUUUGAAAUCACUAUUCAUGCACACAUGAAUUGUUGAAUUUCAGGGAAUUCUAAGCCUACAGUGAGCUUAGUGAGGUUCUAAGGAAGCUCGGAGUGCUUAGUUUGAAGGUUUUGGACGUCGGGAUUGUUGAGUUCUAAGUUGGCCGGUUUUCUUGGAAUUUCUCCGGUGAGAUUUCGUAGUUUUUAGAGCCUUAAACUAGUACAUCGUGAUUCUACAUGCUUAGGGCUUCAUUUUGAAAUAAAAUGCAUGAAAAAUGGUUGAGAAAUGACGGAGAACAAGGAGAUUAAAAAAUCUCCAGUUUUCCGAUGACCGGAAAAACCAAUCUGGCGAUUGGAGGAAGAAUAUGACGCGUGUAGGUCUGUGCCCCUCCCGGCACGUGGGGGCGCGUGUGGCCUCGGAAAUUUUUUCUAAAAAUACCUCGACGUCCGUGACGUCGAGUAGGUCACUGUGGUAUAUUCAUAUACUCAAAUUGAGCAUCGUAUGAGAAGUUAUUACGAAUUGUCGGUUAUGUGCUUUAAAUAACAUUGUUUUAGUUGUUUUGCAUAUAGGUGAUACCUAUCCUGAGGACAAGCGCAUCCAGGGACGUCACGGGGGUUACGACCCUUCGACUUAUCAGUGAGUGGGCAGUUGUUUUCUAUUUAUACCUAUAUACUAUUGAUUUCCCAUAAAUUGAAUUUAUAUGAAAGUAUGUUUGAAAAUGCCAUGCAUGCAUAUUGUGAAUUAUAUGAGUUGAUAAUUGAUGCAUAUAUAUAUAUAUAUAUAUGCGAAUUGGUGAUGUGGACGCACAGGUGAGUAUCAGGUGAGUUUUAUGUUAUUUAUGUGAAUCAUUGAUGAUAUGAAUUGUGUUGAGAGCUCAUAACAUGCACCCCUGGUGUUAGUGUUUAUAGUAUUCACCGCACCGCACGCUCACCUUGGAUCCAAGUAGGUGCAUGUCGUACAGACCAUGAGAGGGUUCCGACAUGCUAGUCGUACAGAUCACUUAAGGUGGUUCCGACUGGUAGGUGACCUUAGAUUAUGUGCACAGAUGAUUGAUGAGAGAAGCACUAGAGCGUAUUAUUACACCAUUCUUGUUGUACAGACUACUUCAGGUAGUUCUGACUUAUGUGCAGAGUAGUGUCGUACAGGUCACCAUGGUGACUCCGAUUGGUUGGAUAUUGAGCUAUGGAAUUAACCGUACAGGACCAACUGCAGGGUCUCCGGUUGAUUCAUUAUGUCACCUGUUAUAUUGAUGCAUCCAUAUUCUGUUAUUGACAUUUAUGGCAUGGCAUAUUUUCUGGGUUUUGGUAAAGAUUGGUGAUUUGAGAUAUUUGAAGAAGUAUAUGCAUAUUAUGUUAUUUUCUGGGAAAGUAUAUAGGUUUUACAACGAAGGGUUAGAAAUGUUUUAAAUAAAAUGUUUUUGAAAAACUUUGGUUUUACUGACCCACUCAAUUUUGUUUUGCGCCCCUCCAGGUUCUAGUUAGCAACGUUGGUGGCCCACGAGGAUUCCCACGGCGUACUGACAGACUACAUAAAUGUAGGACUCACCUGCGAGUGUUGUAAUUUAGUUAUGGUCCUACUUGACUACACCUAGUACUUAUGCUCUGAAUUUGUGUGUUUCACACUUAAACUUACUCUAGCAUGCUAGUUGGAUAUUAUUGCUAGUAGUUGGUUUUUAUUCCUUCGUAUUUCUCUUAUCUUUUGCUUCCGCAUCGCACUUUUGGUUACGUCACGCUCACGUGAUGGCCAGCACACCUUGAUUCUAGGAUCGGGGUGUGUCAUUAUCGAUAUCGAUAAAAAUUAAAUAAAAACCACGGAAAUUGUAAGAAAAACUUGGAAAUUUUUAUUGAAACUUUGCAGGAUGUUUAUUUAGUCAAUUAUCUAUUAGUUUAUCACAAAAAAAAUGGAAGGAAAUGCAUUGCAUGAUGAAUUUAACUGAUUUAAGUUGAUUAUAUAGCGAGCUGACAAACAUUGUGAGUGUAGAAAAUAUGUAGUAAUUAAUGAAAGAAGUUUAAACAUACCAUAAUCAUUUAUAUAUAAUGAAUUAGUACAAUAUUUUACACUUUAUACAUUGCAUGGUAAGAUACAUGAGUGACUUAGUACCACAUAGAGUUCCUAUCAAGGUCUAAAAUAUCGAUGAUAUCGGAAAUAUCGAUAGUCCAAAAAAACGGAAAUUUCGAUGAAAAUAUCAAUAUUUUAGACCUUGGUUUUGAUCUGGAAAGAAGUUUGAUUAUGGAGCAUGCAUAUUCACUUUCUACUUGUGCAAUCUGACUUUUAGAAGACACAUAUACUUCAACACCUCUGCUUACAUUAGUAAGCGAGGUGGACAACUCUAAGGCGUGCAGUGGUGAAUUGCAUAUUGAUUUACUGCUAAAAAAAGGAGAGGAAAAUAAAUAAAAAUAGAAAAAACUUAUAAAUAUAUGCAAUACCUAACAAAGCACUUAAAGACUUUCGAAGUCGUGGCCUACUGGCAUGCACACAACACGCACGCACACACGAGACACACGUGUGUCACAGUGGGGGAAACCCUAGCAGCCAGCUCAUUAGACUAUUUCCAACCCUUGGGUUAAAAGUCAAUUUUUUAAGCCCAUAAAAUUUAGCCUUUAGCCUAUAAACAAUUUUUCUACUUUAAUCCUUCUAGCCUAAAAUUUUAGUCCGGGAUUAUUAAAGAAUGAACUUAAGCUAAUUUUUUUUCUUAAAUUAACCUUUUUAAAAAUAAAAAAAAUUUAUGUAGACUAUCAUAAAUUAAUUUUAUGAACAUUUUAAUCUAAAAAUAUUUAAAUUCCGAUAAAUAUUGAAAAAUCACUAGAUCGAUACAUGAAACACUAUGGAAGAAUAUGAAAAUCAUGAUAAAGAUGUAUAAACACAAAAUACAUAAAACACACAAGACACAGAACACAUGUGAAACACAUACAAAACACAUGUGAAACACAUACAAAACACAUGAUAGAGAUGAAGCACACACAAAACACAUGUGAAACACAUGACGCACACGAAACACAUACAAAAUACAUACAAAGCAAGCCUUCAACUUUCACUAAUUGGUCAACUUUCACCAAACUUUUAACUUUCACGAAUCAUUCAACUUUCACCAAACUUUCAACUUUCAUCAAUCAUCCUCUAUAUAAACACAGGUUGAAUAUCAGUUGAUCGCACAAUCUUUCAACCUUCAAUCAUCCUCUAUAUUCAUCAAUCUUUCAACUUUCAAAGUGUUUUUGUUUCCUAAAAAUCCUCAAUAUCUCAUCAAUGGGUGAUAGAAAAAUGUGUAGCAGGGCAAUGCAGAUGGCAUAAUACAAAGCAAGCCUUGACAUUGAGGAUAUAUAAAUGAUCAACGCAGAAGCUAAACUUGCAAACUUGCUUAUACAAUAUGAGCAUCAUGCCAAAUCUAGCUAUCGUGGUUCUGUUACGGGGCGUUCAUUUGUGCAGCGUGAUAGAGAGGAGUGUCAUGACCGAAUGAUGAAAGAUUAUUUCAUCGAGUCGUUGGAUUUAAUUAUUUUAGCUGUUGGAUUCAAAUUUGGGCCGUUAGAUCUUUUUUAAGCCCAGAAAAUUUAGCCUUUAGCCUAGAAAUAGUUUUUUUGCUCUAACCCUUCAGGCCUAAAAUUUUAGUCCAAGAUUUUUGUAGGGGAUGUGGAGUGCUCGGCGGCGGGAACGUUGAGCCUCUUCAUCAUCCCAAUCGAAGGGUGAGGUGACAGCUUUGACAACAGAGGUGGCCGACCUUAAGACUGAGCUAGCCUCGUAUAAGUGCCAGAUGUCACUAAUUGUAUAGGCCCUCAGUCAAUCCCGCAUUCGUCUCCCGGAUAUUCGUCCCCUAUCGACGUGCUAGCCCCUCCAACCUGAGCAUGCCCAGAACUCUGCCCCUUCGACCUCUGAGCCUGUCCUCAACCCCGACCCCUUCUUGCCCCAAUCUUUCCAUCUGCAUGUGAACGACGACCCUGUAGAUUAUUCCCCAUUUUUUUCUUAGUUGUUUAGUCCCUUACUUUUAAUUUUUUUUCUUUGUACAUACAUUUUAUUUUUAUUUUAAACAAAUUAUUUUUCUUUUCAUUACAUUAUUUUAUUUUAUUUUUAUUUUAUUAUUUUAUUAUAAAAUUAAACCCAGAACAAAAAAUAUAUAUAUAUUUUUUUUUGCGAAUAAUAGCUUCGUCGUGCAUACUUUUUUGCGAUAACUCACUUUCGUUGCACAAAGUUUUUACACAAAUAUUAGUCGUUCUAAGUUUGCAUCCUGGCAUUUUGUGUGACGAACAUAUUCGUUCCUAAAAAUUUGGUGCAAUGAAUGAGGAAUUGUCAUGCUUUAUUUUCCGCGACCAAUGCUUUUAUUCAUCACGCAAAGUCUUUCUUCACGAUUUUUGCGCGACUGAUUCUACAUGAAGAAGUUUUCGUCGCGCAUACGUUUGUGCGACGCUAUGAAACUUUGCGCGACCAAUUUAUGUUCGCCGCACUAAAUGUUAAACGCGGUGGUGAUUGAAUUUUACUUUAAUUUGAGUCUCAACUCAAUUCAAGUUCAACAAACUUUUAACAAAAUGGGGCUGAAAAUUUUAACUAGAAUGAACGAGCCAAGGAGAUCUCAAAACCCUAAAUUACGAGUGGGUGGGAAGAAUAUUUGAGUGCUUGUAAUUGUUGCUCCAUAUGAUAAGCAAGGCUCCUAUCACAUGUGUGAUUAGUUUGCUUUUGUGUUCUUGAUCGCUUAUAUAUCAUUUUGCUCUUAUUGGUUUAAGGGAAUAAAGGCUCAAACUUCUUGACAUUUUCCUGAUACUUCAAUAAAUCCAUUGAAAACUUACUAAAUUGUUCCACAAAUGGGCAAUUUGAUUCUUACUGUUGGAGGAAAGAUCAGCAAUUUUCAGUUGUACUGCAGAAAGGAAGAAUACAGGAGAAUAUAUAUGCAGGAUGGCUUUUGAACGGCAACUGAAAUUUAAUUUUAUUGCUUUCAAUUUUUUAUUACAGCACUAGGCCAAUCUUAUUAUUGGCUAUUUUUUAAUAACAUUCAUACCUUUUGAUAACAGCUAUAACUCUUGGAUAAGUUCCAAGAGACACAACUCUACAUUACAGAAAGUGCAUUACGUUUAACACUUACAUCAUUGACUAGUUGAUCUAAGGUUGUUACAUAUAUCCUCCUUAGGUUCCUGAGUAAUCAUCUCAAAUUCCUGCUGAAAUCUCUCCAUGGCCGAGGAUGGCAAACACAUGGGUACCAAUAUUCCAUCCUCAGUGUUGUUUUUGUGUUGAACAUAGAAGCUAACCAAAUCCAAGGCCUUGGCGGGUCCAGCAAAUACCGGCUGUCCCCAUCCAAAAUUGACAUCUCCAAAACCUGCACGCGUAUUAUCAGAAACUAUUAAAUAACUUCCUGUCGAUGAAUAUUGAGGUCGCCCUCUUAGUACCAAAAGAUCUGCCACUGAUCUUAAGUAUUCUUCAUUCAUGGUAGCUUUAGCCUUCUUCACCAACUCCAAAGCAUAUCCCAUUGGAUUUUUGCAUAGAGGUUCAGCCUUUGAAACUGCAGCUGGAAAUGCAAAUGCAUUGCCAUAGUAUCCCAAGGGAAGACGUACAUUGUGGUGCUUUCCCCGUGCAUUGACAGUGCAUGAAACUCGAACUGCCUGUUUUGGAUUAAUUUUGAGUGCAAGAGUGCGACAUUUCCACAAACAAGCUGUGAUCAAGUCAAAUGUGGAGCAAGUGGAAAUUAGGUGGCGUGGAAUCUGUUUUCGAAGGACUCUCAUCUCCUUGGCACCAAAGUAGAAAGAUCGUUGAACCAUGUUUGACUGGUUACUGGAUGUGUAUGAGCCAUCAGAAUGAUCAAUCACGUCUUCAUAUUCAUGAUGAGCACAUGUAAUUCUUGGUGGAUUUCGAGCGAAC